AAAUACACCAUUUCUUCAUCCUCCAUUUCCUCAAACUCCGUUCAACAAAUCCUUUUCCCAUCUCUUCUCUCCUUCUCAAAUUCUCCCGGCCACCGGUCUCCACCGUAAUGUCCCUCGCAUACGCCGUCGCUCACUCUUCUCAGUCAACGCAACUCCGCAUCAGAAACCGCCGGAAAACCAGUUUUCGAAAGCGAUGCUUCCGGAUGAUCAAGCAACAGAAAACCAGAUUUUAUAUCCUCGGCCGUUGCAUCUCCAUGCUUCUUUGUUGGCACGAUCAUGAUAUUACUGAUUAAAUCGCCUAAUUCCACCGUCGAUUGUUGUUUUCUUCCCUCCUAUUUCGACAAUCAACGUUCUUUUCGCCCGCGAGAUCCUCCGAUCGGUAAUUGAACUCCGAUUCUGAAGGAAAUGGAGGUAAAUCGGAAUCUUGAUUAGGUAUCAAAUUGAUCGGAGGAGUUAGGUAUACGGUUUAAUUUCUCACCGGCCGUUAUAACAUACAGCGCCGUGAUUCGUUCGCUUGGAGUAGAUUUCUCUUGAUCGACAGAGAAGAGACAAAUUGAAGGCAAGCAAAAACUAGUUUAAUUUCUCUUUGAACUUUUCUUCUAAUUUUAGUUUGUUAUUAGAUCGUUGAUGACCUUCAUUCGACGUACGGAUACAUGUAUAUAAACUGAUUAGAAAAAUUAAAAAAAAAAAAGGUUUUCUUUUUGUUUUGAAAUCGGACUCUGUUUUUGAGAACGAUUUGAAUUGAAUCUCUGUAUUUAUGAAUUUUGUUGAGAUUUAUCAAUCAUCAGAUUAUCAGUUCUUAUCUUAAUGGAUUCGUUUGCAAAUUAUGAAGAAAGUCAACUUUUUUUCUUCUCUAUACAUAGUUCAUAAUUUUAAUUUGAUUUUUGUGCGAUAAAGAAGUGAGCAGGAAAAUAGUUAUCCAAUUGUGGAAAUAUGUACAAAAAAUUACUUCUUUUCUUUGUUUAAAAUAAUAUUUUCUUCCACUUGUAAAAUCAACCGUAAGUUAAAUAAUAUAGAUUAAAAUUAAGUUUUAUGUCGUAGGAUACCACACGGGUUUACGUGUACAUCACCGAUACAUCUCUAUUCUUUUCAUCAAGAAUUCUUAAAAUUAUUGUGACUUAUCUUUUAAUUUGCCUCUGACCAUCAAAUGAAAUGUGAAUAACUCGUCCUCCUCUCCUUGAAACAAGAAACGCUUUUGAUUCCCUUUAAAUAAUUUAGUCUUCUCUAUAUUACUAUAUCUCUAGAGUCGAUAAUUUAUAUGAAGAAUUAUUACUAUUCAGUUUUCCAUUGAGGUCCUCCAAUGGAGGUACUCAAAUUGGUUACUUCCAUUUCAUGCUUAGAACAAUUCUAUAUUAAAUAAUCUCUUUCUUAUAAUAUAAGACGAUAUUGAUGGGUAUGCAAGGAAAAAUGUGGAAGAUUCAAAUACAAUCUUGUUUGGGUAUGGAGGGUUACAUUUUGAUUCUCAAUUUAUUUAUUUUCUUUUUUUACUUUUAAUUAGUAGUAGAAAUAUGAUUAGUAAUAAAUGGUGAGUAAGAAGAUUGGUUAGGUGGAAUAAAAUUGAACCACAUACCAAAUUUUGAUCAAAAUAUAUAUUUUUUUCUCUUCAUUCUUUUAUGUCAUUUAAGUAAUAGUAUAACCAUGAUUACUAAUAAACACUACAUUAAAAUAUGGUUUGAAUAAAUUUGAUAUUGUUAAUUAGUGUUGAGCUAGACUAAGCUUAUCGUUUAUUAGUGAACUUUUGUGGUUUGAAUUCUAAUAACAUCUUAAAAUGUCUAUUGAAUUCAACUUUGAUGACUUGAAUGGAUAGAUAUGUUAUUCCGACUAAUUUUAUAUUUGAGCUCGAAAAAUAACAGUGAUGUGCUUACCAUUACUUUUAACCUAAAUCUCCACCAUAGUUGGAUUGUUAAUUCCCAUCCAUUAACUUCUAAUCUAAGUAAUGGGACCCACUUAAUGUACGAUUAAAAAAAAAAGCACUUAUUAACACUUUACAUUGGAGGGCCUAAGUAAUAAGUGGUUGUAGUUAUGCCAAAAAUUUAGUUUUUGAUGUUUCGUUUUUUACUUUUGAAUUUUUAUGUCGAAGUAUUUAGUUCUUUAUAGUUUUACUGUCUAUUUAUUUAGUCUUUGUCACCGUCAAUUUUUAAACAAAAUAAUUAUUAAAUUAUAGUUGUUUUCAAAUUAAAAACUAUACAGUGAUUGUUGUUAGAAUUGAAAAUGUAAAUUCAUAAUGAACUUAUCAGACUAAUACAGAUAAUAAAAUUUGACUUUUGUGGUUAAAGAUUUUAGAAUUUCAAGGGAAUAAUUAGAUACUUUCUUAAUUAGGUAAUUUUUUUUUUUUUUUUUUUUUUGAGAAGUACUUUCUUAGGUAAUCAAAUAACUCUAAAUAUCGUUAUAGUGGGUAUACAAUUAAUAUAUUAAAACUCAAUAGACAAAUUGAAGUAUUUAAAAAACUAAGGUGUGUGAGUAUAUAUAUAUAUAUUACUUUUGUUUUAAGUGUUCGUAGUUUGACUUUGAUGCAAUCAAGGAUCAAUAUUUAAAACAUUUAAAUUAUAUUGAAGAAUUAAAUUUCACUUAUUCGAACUUAAUUAUAAUUUUAGGAAUCUUUGACAAAAUUAAGUUCUGGGAAAUUCAUAGCAACCAAUUUUCUUUUAUUGCUUUUAUUAUUGUCCAAAACAUUUAAAUUUUAAUAUAUGUUUUCAUAAUUGUUGAUUAUAUUAUGACUUUUGCUUUAAUCUCUUUACUAGCAUUAAGUUUAAUAUAUAGAUUUUCAACAAAUCUUAAUUUUAUUUUAUAAGUGGUUGGUUUUUUUACAACAUUGCAAAGGACCUUUGCAUUAUAAAAUUUUAAAGCAUAUAUUUUUAAAAAAGUAUUUACCUAAUUUAUGUUAUUUUAUAAAGAUUAUUAUAUUUAUUUGAUAAAAUUUUAAAAAUAAAUUUGAAGUACUAAAUUUAGGAUUUAUGAUUAACAAAUUUCAACGUAGAAGGGACAACGUAACCUUCCAUCAAAUUUAGAUAGCCCAGCCCAACUCACACCAUUGGGUCACUCUGGUGGUCCAGCCCAAUGUUAAUAUAGCCGAAAACGGUUAUGUAACUAUCCAAUUUCCGAAACGACGUCGUGUAGAGGACUCAUAAUUUUAGCUUAAACCCUAGUCCUGUCGCCGCCGGUGGUCACGCAGUCUCCGGCGACAGUUCCCGCUGUUAGUCUUCUACUACGGUGAAAAUCUCGAUUCUGAUUCUUUCUUUUCAGUGGAAAAAUCUCCGAACCCAUUACUCUACAUUGUUCUAUUCUGAUUUGAAUUUGUUUGCAUUGAGUUGGGUGUAAUUUUUGUUGUGUUAUUGAGUAUUGAGAAAAAUCGAACUUGUGAAUCUAUCAAUGUUGGACGAAAGCAAAUUCGACGUGCAUCUGAAUCUCUGGGCCUUAAGAAUUCCGAGGGAACUUUGUAAGGCCGCCAUUAAAAUACUGAACGGGUACGCUAUGUUUUGUGUUAUAUUGUUUCGAUUUCAAUUAAUCAUUUGGGUAAUGGCAUUUAGCAUUAGUGUUACUCAUAUAUUGUUGUCGUUGAACUGUUCAUCUUUCUUAUCCGAGUUCAUGUUUUUGAAAACUUAUCAGAAUUCUCCUGAUAUUUUUUAGUUUUUUUCUUUGAAAAGUAUUCUUGUUAUUAACUUUUGUUUAAAAGCAGACUUUUCUUUGGCCCUCAGUUCGUUUCUGUUGAAAAAUUUUCAGGUACUUAAUUGACAAGCCCCGGAUUAAACCUGUGACUGAAGAUCCAACAUGUGAUAAGAAUCGUUAUGUUAUAUUAUCUGAAAAGGUUCAAACUCCAGGUAAAGAUCUCCAUCUCCGUCCUCAUAUUUUUUCUGUUAACUAUAAGCUUGGAUUGCAAUUUCAUGUUCUUUAUGGAAACUCUUCUGUAGCACAUUCUGUUCGCUGAAGUUCCAAUUCUUGUUCAUUGAUUUUCUUCAUGUUACCUUAGUGGCUUUCUGGCUCUGUUCAUGCAUUCAAGUUCUUAAAUAGUUCUAAAAUUAUCGAGCGAGUAAUUUUUUAUCUUAAAACUUCAAUUUCUGUAGGGUAUAACCAUCAACUUGAAUGCAUCUUUAGUUAGAAAAGUGUCUAAAAACAGUCUAUAUAUCACAUGAAACCAAAUUAACGUCGUGUAACUAGGUAAUUUUCAUAAAAAUAAUCUCGUUUCCCUUUAAAAAUCACUCAUUUUUUCUCUUCCUUCUUUUUACCUUAUUUUCUCAAUGGAAUUUUCCUCGAUCAUGUCCUUAGAUGACACCAUUUUUCUAUCUUGUUGAUUCUUUGAAUGCUCAGAAUUAUCAGAAAUUCCAGAAAUGAAACUUGAAGAAUUGAAAGGCUUAUGCAUGUUUGAACGAGUUCCCUAUUCACUAACCCUUGGAUAUUCAUAUUGGGGAGCAGGUAUUUUCAAUAAUUCUUCCCUUUAUCACACAUUGUGCAAAUUUUACUUUCACCUUAGGAUUGCCUGUUGAACUCCAGAUAUUUAUAGAUGCCUUUAACUUUCGAGUUGCAAGUCUGAAGUGUUAUGUAAGGCAUAUCUAGCAUCAUUUUUAAUGAUCCCAUUCCCAUGACUCAAAAUCCAAACGUUUUUUACAUUGUGACUGCACAUGUGCUGAUAGAAUGUGGUUGUCUUUGCCUCUCAUUUGAUAUUAUAACUACAUGUGAUGUGACCGUUCUACAUCAAGCGGUUGCAAUUAUAAGAACAAUGUUCGAUUUCUGAAAGAUAGUUUAAACAAUUCUGUGAGCGAAUUUACCCGUCAUUUGAUGUGUUUGUAUUGUACAUACGUAACUAACUUACUGUGUGGUUGCUCUGUAGAUCAUAUUCUCAAGAAGAUUUUGCCUCCUGAAGUGGAAGUGCCUUCAUCUUUUGAGACAAUAGUUAAGUACUCUAACCCCUGCCAUGUUCCACCUACGCUUUCCUUUCUACAUUUUGUAUCCAUUUCCAUAUGCUCUUUAUAGCUUUUAUGUGCGUUCUUUUGUUGCUCUGUAUUACAUUUUGGUACCACUUGUUUAUGUGACAUUGGUUGUAACGUUGCUUUUUCAUGUACAACUAUUAACAUUGAGGUAAUUUUGUACUGUGAUUUGCAGGUCACGUUGCUCACCUGAAUAUACAUGACGAAUUACUUCCAUAUAAGGAUGUCAUUGCGAAGGUUAUUUAUGAUGUAUGUCAUCAGUAUCUAUUUACUUAUUUUCCUAAUUAUUUUGAAAUGUACAUUGUGAUUUAUUAAUCACUAUAAUUUAGCUGUUAGUUCAUUUUUUUAUUCUUAAUUUUGUUUUACUCUCCCCUUCUUUUCCUCCGUGCAUAUGUUGGGGGUACCUUUUUAAGAAAUUCAAAUGUUCAGAAUCGGAUAUUUAAUAUUUUUAUCCUCCCCCUUCAUCCAGCAAUAUGCACACACACACAUUUUCCAUAUUGAAACUUUUUCUGUAACUAUUUCUUUUUGUAAUCUUUGCAGAAAAAUUAUCCCAGGAUUAAAACAGUUGUAAAUAAAGUGGGUUCUAUAACAAAUGAGUUUCGGGUUCCAAAGUUUGAAAUACUGAAGGGAGAGAAUGAUAUGGUAACAGAAGUAAAGCAAUAUGGGGCGACUUUUAAGCUCGACUACAGUUUGGUCUACUGGAACUCAAGAUUGGAACAUGAACACAUAAGGCUGGUUUCACUCUUCCAACCAGGAGAGGUAAUUUGUGACAUGUUUGCUGGUAUUGGUCCUUUUGCAAUUCCAGCCGCCCAGAAAGAAUGUAUAGUAUAUGCCAAUGACUUGAAUCCAGACAGCAUCCGAUAUCUGAAGGUUAAUGCAGAAAUCAAUAAAGUUAGUGGUCGCGUUCAUGUAUAUAAUUUGGAUGCUAGAAAGUUUAUUUCUCAAUUGAUGAUAGUUCCCCCUAAUGAAAGUAAUUCAGAAUCUGUCACCUCAAUACUAAAAGCUUGUGAGAAGGGCAUUGGAGGGACCAAUCAAGAAUCACCAUUGGCAAAUGGUAUGCCGACUGGUAUUAUAUUAUUAUUAUCAUUUAAAGAAAAUUUCACAUCGUCUUCAGGAGAUUAGUGUAGAUGAUCUUAAUUUUCUUUCUUGCUUCAGUUCAGGUGCAAGAAGUUCAAGAUUAUAUUAAAAUUAGCAAUAAAUCUGUAGAACAAUCAAGGAGUGCUGAUAUAUCCGUUGCUGUUCUUAAAAGAUCCUCAGAAAGUUGUGAGAACGAGAAAGGUAACAUACUCUACCAUAGUUUGUGAUUGAACAACCAAGACCGUUUCUUCCUAUAAUUUUUUUUGCAGAUUUUUUUUAAUGAAAAUUUGCUUUGCAGACAAUGGAAUUGCUGAUGAUGCUUCCACUCGUGUAGCCGGUAGGAGAAAUGGAAACGGAAAUAAGAGGAUGAAGGGGUCCAGUGUAUCUCAUGCUAGGACCUGGGAACACGUUGAUCAUGUGAUUAUGAACCUCCCUGCUUCUGCUUUACAUUUUCUUGGUACGAAUGACCUUUUUUCUUUUUAAAUUUCAUUUCACUUAUUGCAGUUGUUUUAGCAUAUUUCUCUACAUUUGUGUGUCAGAAUGAAGAGUUAAAAGUUGGGGAAAUAACAAUGUUAGGAAAGGGAAACAAUUACUUUUUAAUGCUUCAAAUAUGAAGGGAAACCAUAAACGAUUUUUUCUCUCUUACUAUCACCAUGACAGAUAUUUUGGAUAUGUCAUAUUUCCUAAUUCCUACCUUUCAAAUGGAAUUCUUUGUUGUAAGUUUUGUAGUCACUCUCUAUACCAAUUUUAUGAGUUUCUUCAAUCUCCUUUAGCUCUUGGGUGAGGGAGAAUGCCUUAUCUCCUCCACUCAAUUAUCUCAACUCGUGUUUUUUAUCCAUAUCUAUAUUUUGCUUAGUUAACCAAUGAAGUAUAUUUUGUUAUUUUCUUGCCAGAUGCAUUUAGAGGCUCAAUUAAGAAGAAAUACUGGAAGGGCUCCCUUCCUUGGAUUCACUGUUACUGCUUCAUGCGAGCAAAUGAAAACCAAGAUUUUAUCAUUUCGGUAUGUGUAUACUAAAUUACUAUAGAUCCUUAUUUGUCUGUCUUCUUUUUGAUAAUUGUAUUUCUUUCUCACCAUUCUAUUUGGAUAUCUGUCUUGAAAAAAGUUGUCUUUCUUCUCAUACCAUCCUCUUUUAACUGUUGCACUCCAGGAGGCUGAGUCUGCCUUGAAUGCUAAUAUUCAAGACCCCAUUUUUCAUAGGGUCAGAGAUGUUGCACCAAACAAGGUAUUGCUUUGUGUGUGUGUGUAUAAAUGGAAACUACUUGUUUUUAACUCUUUUUUCUUUUUUGUUUUAUCAGGCUAUGUACUGUUUGAGCUUUAGGCUUCCGGAACAAUGCGUUGAUGAAGACACGACUAGCUAAAAUCGAGUAAAACUUUUCUAUCUCUCGGGGCUUCAUUUUCUUGUUCUCACAUCGUCAUAAUUCAUGUUUGUUUCUCAUUUCUGAGAUGUACAAGCUAGACGUAUGAUAUCGUAGGCUAGCGCUUGGGUAUUUCAGUUCUAAAGUUGAGAUUGGUGUUUGGAAAAUUUUCCAGAUUUGCUCAGUAUAAUUCAUAACUAAUCACUUGAAUUUGUAUAAAACAAAUGUCUCAUGUCCUAUGUUAUAACAAUAUCCAUUGAUAGGCGUAGUACGUACCUUGAUGAAAGUGCUUUUCUAUUCUUUAACAUCAAAAUAUGGUUAUUAAUUGAAGAUUGUAUUGUUAUCCUGUCCAAAUUAAGCAUGUUUUUAAGAUAUUUUACAUACAUGACAAUAAAAAAUAUUGUUAUCCUGUGUAGGGAUGAGAAUGAUAGACUAAAAGAUCGAGUGGACUAACAAAACUAAAGUCAGUUGAUGUCAGUUUGAAACUUUCCAAAUCGAGAAAUGUUAAAGAGUUAAACCAACCCACCGACACAUUUAUUCAUCGACGGUCUAAGGAUGGUUUGAACAUUUACUAAAUCGAUCAUAGUCAUUUCGAUGGCGGUUUGGUCAAAGAAUUGACUUCAACUGGCCGAUGAUUGCCUUUAAUUUUAUCAUUUUUAAUAUUCUUACCUUUAUAGUAAUUGUCCUAACAUUACCUAAUCGAUUGAUAAUGAAAAGUAACAAAAUGAUGAUAUGAUUGUGAUAGGACUACGUUCAAGACUUGUCAAGAUUCUAACUUAAUUGUAUGUCCAUUAUUAUUGUCACAAGAGUCGUCUCCCUUAUCAAGCAGUGGAUCUAGCCAUGACUAAACAUUAUGUUUAGUCCUUUUUUUUUUUCUUAAAUCAUAAUCACCAUCAAUGUUUGUUUGAUGGAAUAAUGAGAAAAAUGAAUAUUUGGAAAUCAGAGAAAAUGAUUUAUCAUGAUUUGGGACAAAUAAUUUUCUAUCUAAUGUUUUUGUACAAAAAUAGCUUUUAAAUUAAUCCAAGAUAUUAAAAGUACUUUUUAUUUGUUAGGAUAAGAUUACAAAAUACUUUUAUUUUUAGAAAAUAUUAUAAAAAUUGUUAAAAUCAUUCCAAAGGCUAUAAUAGACAUGCUUUAAAUUAUGUUUUUUUUCUUUUUUAAAAGUAACCAUUGUUUAAGUACUAAUUUUGUAUUUGCAAAAAAAUAAUUAUUCUAAAUUUAAUUUAUUUUGAUUCUCAUACUUUCUAUCUAUACAAAAUUUCAAAAAAUUUAAAAAAGAGUCAUUUAGUUCUUUUUUUCUUUUUAUAUUUUAGAUUUUAAUUUUAAAAAUUAUCAUUUUUUAAAGUAAAAUGUCAAAUUGAAUAAAAGUUGAAAGUAUAUUAAACAAAAUGAAUAAUUUAAAAGCACAAUGAUAAAUUAUAUAAAAAUAAAUAAAAGUACAACGUAAUAUUUAAAUUCAAGAUUAAUUUGAUUUAAAAACUAUUUUUUCACCAGGUAUUCCAAACAAAAAUAAUCAAAACAAAAUUGACAUAUUUUCUUAUUUGGUGAGUCAACUUGGGUCAACCACCUUUUUGACAACUUUUCCAUUGAGAGGAGAAGGCUUCUUUCUUGCAAGGCAACAUUUUCCCAACAACUUACCACGAAUAACAUUUAACCCAAAAGUAAUAGAAUAUAUAGUACAAUAACAAAAUAAUUAUAUAUAACAUAAAAUUAAUUUAAAAAAUAACAAAAUAAAUUAAAAUAUUUAAAUUUUGGUUGUAAAUAUUUUGUCAAAUUUGCUAUUUUUGACAAUUCUAUAAAAAAAAUCCUAGAUGUAGUUAACAAUGAUAGUAGCUAAGAACGAUAGGUUUCUUUUUUCAAAUUAAAAGUCAGUAAUAAUUUUCAAUUUAAAAAAUGUGUUAUCAGUUACUAUCAUUGAUACUACCUGUUUGUGAUAACUUCUAUCGAUAAUAAUCACUAAAGAGCAUACAUAACAUUUACUAUUUUUACAAAUAUUUUAUUUUGUACUAUAUUUUAAAUUUAUUUCUCACUAAGUUUUUCUUUUUCAUAGACUAAUAAGGCAAUACAUAAUCAAAAAAAUUAUUUAUGAUUCUUUUAAAAAGAUACCAAUCUCUUUUUUCCUUUUUAAUAAAUCCAUUCAUGUUUUUCUUUAUAUAUAUAUCAGAUUUGCACUAUUGUUUUUCUUCUUCCUCUUUUUGUAAAAAUAAUAAAGGGACGAACUUUGGGAAAGAGACCAAUUUCUAAAGCAAAGAUAGAUUAGAUGAAAACAUUACACGUAGAUUUUGGCUGGAAAGCUAUCAAUUUGGAUCAUUCUUUUUCAUUAACAUUAUUUCAUUAAAUUUCUAUUUUUUUUUUAUCUUUUCUUUAAAAAAAAUUACUUCUUUUCAAGAUUUUAUCAUCACAGUUUGCAUUAUCACCAUACAAUUUUUUUAAAAAAAUAUUAUAAUUUCAACCCAACUUGUAAAAUUAAUUUCCAAAAAUCACUUUAAAGUUCAUCCUUCAAUAUUUCAUUAUCAAAUUGGAGACCAUGUUACUAGAUAAUCAUCAAACAUGUGCUUUUUUCUUUUCAAGUUGAUAUACUUUUUUUCCCUUUAGUGAUUUCAAAUAUUUCUAACGUAAGUGCAUACUGCUAUUUAUUUAUUUUGACUAUAAUAAUAUAAUAUCAAGAUUUGUCUAGUUUGUUUUUUGAUAUAAUAUUAUACAAAACAACUAAUAUUUGUUAAAUACCAAUAACUAUGUUAGUGAUUUAUAUUUAAUAUAAUCCGAUUUUUCUAAGCCAACUCUCUUAAAGUUUGGAAAUAAAAAAUUUUUAGAUCAUAAUAAGCAAGCAAAAAAAAAAAAGUGUGAUUAUGUAAUGAAGAGUGAAUAUAUAUAUCUCUCAAAAGGAAAAAAAAAUCACACCUUUAUUUCCACGUUGUAAAGUGCUUUUUUUGGAGACCCUUUCUGUCAAAUGUGAUAUUUUUUAUAAUUAAAAGAAAUUGAAAAGUAUAUUAAAUCAAAGCUAUGUUAACCAAUGAAGAUACUCUAAAUAAUUUGAUAUUUAGAAUCAAGCAAACAAUUUAAAACUAAAAUGAAAAAGAAUUUUUAAUAAUUUAUUUUUGUUAUGUGAAAUUUGGUUGGAAUACAAAUGGGAUGAAAAUCGUCAUAAAAAAGCGUAAGAAAAAGAAAAACAUAAUUUAAUCAAACAAUUGAGGUUUUCUUGCUUUGGUAUAAUUUUUUAUCAAUAUUUUUAAAAACUAAAAAAUUAAGAUAAGAAUUGUUGAGAUAAAGUGAAAAUUAAUUUGAACAAAAUUUUUUGGUUCAAUAUUUGUAAAUGAAUAAAACUAUAUAUAUAAUACGUGUUAUUGGAGCUGUGCACACCACCAUAACUGAAUAACUGAAUUAAGUAACGAAUCUUUUAUUUUGCUUUGUGAAGCUUUCUCCCCUUUAGCUCUUCAAAAUCCUAAUAUUUCCAUUUCCAUAUCCAUACAACUCCUUUCUUGAUUCUAUCUUUGUUAAAAGAUUCAGAUUCAAAGAUUGAGAGAAACCCAUAAAAAUGUCAAGAAAUUGUAUAUUCAGAAUAUUAUUAGUUUUGUUGUGGUUGUUGAUGAUGAUUGUUCCAAAUGGUUUAAGUGUUGGAGUGAACUGGGGAACUAUGGCUACUCAUCAGCUCCCACCAGAGAAAGUUGUUAAAAUGCUUCAAGAAAAUGGGUUUCAUAAAUUGAAGCUUUUUGAAGCUGAUGAUAGGAUUUUGGAAGCACUUAUUGGAAGUGAUAUCGAGGUUAUGUUGGCUAUUCCUAAUUCAAUGUUGUUUCUUAUGAGUCAAGAUCCUCACGCUGCUGCUUCUUGGGUUGAUUCUAAUGUUACUGCUUAUACUUAUCAUGGUGGUGUCAAAAUCAAGUUGAGUUUUGAAGAUUCUUUUGAUUAAUAAUUUUGAUCUUCUUUGAUUUGUUUUUUUCUCGUUUUUUUGGUGCUCUUUAGGUGUUUGAUGAAUUUCCCACUUCAGGGUUUCUCUGUUUUUAAUAUGUUGUUCAUUCAGCUGCUGCUAUCCUGCUGAUGAUGCUGCUUUCAUUUUCUUUGUUUACUUAUUCGAAAAGCCGUUAUCACAACGUAGCUAAGAGGAUAUUUGUGAGAAAGGGUCAUAAUCACUCUCAUAUAUGUCUUAAAUGAUUUAGAAUCAAUUUAUACCAUCCAAAUUGAUUUUGAAUGAUUUAAUGCAUGCUUCGUUAUGAUUUUGAACAUGAUAAAAAGUUAAAAUUACUUAUAAAAAAUAUUCUAAACACUGUUUUUAGUUCGCUAAAAGGAAAAUUUCAGUUUUCUAAAAAGCAUGUCGGUUAAUCUUAGUGUUACUAAUUUCAAGUUAGAUCAUUUGGUCAUGUUCUUUUAUGGAUUGUAGUUACUAGUUUAAAUGAUUAAAUAUAAGCUAAACAUGAUAUUGAAAGGAUUAAAAUUAGCUAAAUAACUUUUGAGUACUCUUCAAAAAGUCAUGUUGGGUAAUCACACAGUACAGUGUCACUAUGUCACUAAACAUGAUAUUAUCAGCUGGGUUGAACUAAUUAGUUUCAUUGAUCACUUCACAAGGAAGUACUAUUUGAGUUAUAAAACUAUUGAAAAGUAAUCAAAUGCCCCUCUUAAAUAAGGGUCAUUUCUUGGAGAACCAUUCUUUUGGCUGAAAAAGUAGAGAUUUAUGAAGUUAAAAUUAGCUAAAAAAUCAUAUCGGUUCUUUGUCUUUCCCAUAAAAUUCCAUUGGAAACUGAUCUUGCAGGUAUGUUGCUGUAGGCAAUGAGCCCUUUCUCAAGUCUUACAAUGGCACUUAUCUUCCGUUAACAUUGCCUGCUCUAAGGAAUAUCCAACAAUCCCUAAAUGAUGCAGGGCUUGGUUCAAAGGUCAAAGCUACUAUUCCUUUCAAUGCUGAUAUUUACAACUCCCCCGACUCAAACCCGGUUCCAUCUGCAGGCGAGUUCCGUCCUGACGUUCGAGACUUAACGAUCGAGAUUCUACACUACCUAUCGAUAAACAACGCACCAUUCACAGUCAAUAUCUACCCCUUCCUUUCCCUAUAUGGAAAUGACUACUUUCCAAUAGACUUCGCAUUUUUUGAUGGAACAGCAUAUAGGCCAAUCAAAGACAGAGAUCUAACGUACACGAAUGUGUUUGAUGCAAAUUUCGACACACUCGUAUCAGCUCUAGCAAAAGCAGGAUACCCUGAUAUGAAGAUCAUCGUAGGAGAAGUUGGUUGGCCAACAGACGGCGACAAACACGCCAAUGUACAAAACGCAAAACGAUUCAACCAAGGAUUGUUAAGACAUGCUUUAAGUGGACAGGGAACUCCAGCAAGGGUAGGCAUAAUUGAUGUCUAUCUUUUCAGUCUAAUUGAUGAAAAUGCUAAAAGUAUAGAACCAGGGAGCUUUGAAAGGCAUUGGGGAAUAUUCGAAUUUGACGGUAAACCGAAAUAUGAACUAGACUUGGCUGGAACAGAAGAAGAAAAAGGGUUAAUACCAGUUGAAGGAGUGAGAUAUAUGGGGAAAAGAUGGUGUGUUUUGAAUCCAAAUGUGAAUGAUUGGGAAGGUUUGGCUGAUAGUGUAGACUAUGCUUGUAGUUUAUCAGAUUGUACUGCAUUGGAAUAUGGAUCUUCUUGCAAUCAAUUAUCUGCACAAGGAAAUGCUUCUUAUGCAUUUAAUAUGUACUAUCAAGUGAACAGCCAAAAGAGUUGGAACUGUGAUUUUGAUGGUUUGGCUGUGGUGACUCAACAAGAUCCUUCUUAUGGAAACUGCCAGUUCCCAAUUAUGAUUGAUUAUACCUCUUCUUCUUCUUCUUCUUCUUCAUUUCUGGUUUAUGAAAGAUUUUCUGAUCUUCUUGUUGCAGUUUUUAUGGGAAUUGUAGUGUUUUUUAUUGUGCAAUAUGAACAGUGAUGGAUUUUGGUAAUGAUUUUUGUGAGGAAUUAGUUAAGAUCAUUUGGAAGUUGUUCAUAGUUUUCUUAUUUGCCAUAUAGCCUCUCAUGUAUAAUAGAUUCAAAUUUUGGUUUCUUUUUUAUUUCACCCUUUAUUUUGCUUCUUUUAAUAAAUAAAUAUAUUUUGGACAAUGCUCGUAAUUUCUUUUUCUGCCUUAUAUCUUUACAUAAUUAUUUGAAGCGCGCGCUAAGUUGAGUUAAUAUGAUGAAAUUAAAAAAAAAACGACAUUUCAUGAUAGAUGUGCAAAUUUUAAUAGAAAACACCCUCAAAAUUUAGUAAUGUAACACCAGCUUAUGGAGAGAGUGGGUUUAUAAAAUUUAAAUUCACGUGAUUUUAACUUAUAACAAAAAUUCACGGGAUAUUGAGAUAUUUUAAGUCAAAAGUCAUGGAUUUUUCAUUUUAUGAAGAUACGUUUCAUGUUUAUUAUUUAUAUUAGAUUUAUAUAUGUGACAUUUUCUUGUUUAUUUUUUUAAUUUUUCUAAACUUUUUUCAUGUUAUAACGAUAAUAUUAAUUCAUCCCUCGUACCAUAUCAAACUCAUAAAAGCAUGAAAGUUCUGGCACAUAUAUGAAAAUUUAAUACAACAAACAAAACAAAUAGAAUUGUUAGACUAAAAUUAAACUUAAAGUUAGUUCAACUUUACAAGUCAAAAUAUAAGAGUAAUUAAUAAAUGAAAGAUUGUAGUCAAUUGCAAAACCACCAUUUAAAGAAAUUAUGCCCACAUACUUACCCAUAGGCAUUUCAAUAAGUAAACUCCCAAAAUAAGAAAGAAAAAUAAAUUCCUAUUUUCAUCGACUUUUUUUCAAUAUAUAUAUGAUUUAUAUAAUUUAAUUAAUUUAAACCGUCAUAGCUGUUGUAUUGGUUUGCCUUCAAUGCACACAAAUAAAAGGUUCAUUAUGGAACAUGUCACCUCCAAAUUCACAUUUAUAAUAUAUGGUCUCAAACUUAGAUAUAUGGCCAAUAAUAUUUAUGGUGCCGAACUCUUAGAUUUACAAAAUAUGAUACAUUUAAUACUACUCAUCUCCAUCCGUUCCAAACAUAUAACAUUAGUCAUUAACAAUUGAUAGAUAUAUGACUUUCUUAUAGAAUUUUUGAAUAUUUAAAUCUUGUCCGUUGUAUCUGGAACGUUAAAACUAAUUUCUUAGAUAAAAUUUUUUAGUGAAUUUUAUCUAAUCAUUAUUAUUGGUUAAUUUGUAAAGAAUAACAUAUUAAUUAUAUAUGAUUAAGAAACUGAAAGUUGAGCCCAUUGGUUAUUUAUCUUUAAUUUAUUGGUUAAAGAAUAUUAUUAUCACUUGUUUUCAAAUAUAGCUAAACGAGAUUAAUUAUUUACUUAAUUUGUUUUCGGUAGUUUUAUUAUUUAAAAUAAUUUUGAUAUUAAUUUUGCUAUUAUAUGGUUUAUGGUUGAAAAGUUGAACAAGAUAUAAGAGGCUCAUAUUCACAUGUCUCAAAAGAGGAGUUAUUAAUGAAUCUGUCAUCUAAUCUUUUUCUUGGUUUUCUUUAUAUAUACUUGAUUUAAGAAAAUUAAAAAGAGUAUAUAACCAAAGUUGGUUGGUCUUUUUUUUUUUCAUUUUUUGGAAUAGAAAAGUUGAUGAAAGUUUAAAUCACCGUUACUAUGGUUAAAUUUCUACGGUGGAUUAAAAAUAAUAAUCUUUUAUCAACCAACUACGUGUAUAUGACUAUCGUUUAGAGGUCAUGAAUUUGAAUCACAUAAUCUUACAAGCUAAAAGAAUAGUUGUCUUCCUGUUAAUCGUAGAACAAUACGUGUUUUGAUAUGCACUUUCAUAGUAAAAAAAAAAAAAAUCAUUGUGACUAAAAGAUGAGGUAUUAAUUAAUGUUUAAUAUCUGACGAAGAAACCCACCUAACCUUCAAAUACGAUCAACGUGAGUGAAUUUGUAAUUUAAGAGGUCACUAAGAAAAAUAGUUUUAAUUAUAUAUACAAUAAAGCUAAACUUACGGUUCCCUUUAUCCCUAUAGAAAUAGGACUUGAGAAGCCUUGAUCGAACAUGAACAAGGGGAACAAACUAGGGCAAACUGGCGAUUUGCCUUAAGGGGCAAAUUGGUCGGCCUUGGUCGAGGUUGAAGAUGGACUUUUUAAGCUUAGAUCGGUCUAAUUAGUACUUCAUUCACUCUCCAACAACGUCGUUGCAUGAACUCGUUUCUUGUCCGUCUUUCGUUCAUCUUAGAUAAGACAACUUUCUUGACUUUACUCUUAAAUUUUAUCUUCUAAUCUCUUGAUCUUUCUCAUAAAUUCGAAAUUAUCAUCAAAUAAUAUUCGCCACGGUAAUUAACAUAUUUGUAUUUUUUUUUCCAAAAUGAUAUUGAUAACAAUAACACAUUUACAACACACCAAAUUAUUUAGCUUAAUUAGUCAUGACUCCUCUUUUUUUUUUAAUUUUAAUGAGUAUAAAGAAAAAAAUUCCAUACCUAGCUAAACCCUAAAAUAAUUAAUUAUGAUAGUCUUCUUAAAUGUAAUGUAAUCUAUAUGAUCUAAAUUAGUCAACAUAUAUGUUGUUUCUUUUAUUAGGAUUCCAUUUUUGUUAUCUUCGUCUUUUGUUUUCUCUAUGGUUAUAGAACUACUUUAGAGUUUGGCUUUUUUCUUCUUUUGAAAACAAUAUUAUUAGUUUUAAUUUCUAACAUCUAUACCUACUUGUAAAAAAAAAAUUACAUCAGACGUUAAAAACAUUGAAAAAAAAAAAUAGUCAAUAGCACAUUUUUUUAUAUAUAUUGCAAAGCAAAUAUGACAAGUAAUGAAGUGAUACUCAUUAUCAAAUAGCUAUUAGAAGGUUGUCGACUUUUCAAUUUACUACUUUUGCAAUUUAUACGGCGUAGUGAUAAUUAUUAUAAAUUAUUUUACUAUUUUUGUAAGCACUAAACCUAGACAUUGCAAAAUUGAAAAAAAAAAAACCUUUCUCAUAUUUUAUAAAUAUUUUUAGUACAAUAAGUUUUGUAAUUUAUAAUUUUAUUUUUGAAAUUUUGCUUACAUUUUAAAUUUGCUUCUUUUUAGGGUGGUGAAAUAUACAUACUUAUAUAAAAUGUGUGCAAAAGAAGAAAUAGUUAUUAAAUGUAAUGCGAAUAUAUUUUGUUUAUAAUCGAUAAAAGUUAAUAAACAUUUAAUUCAAAUUAACAUCUAGUAAGCAAAUCCACGUCAAUAUUUUCAAAAUUUUAUUGUUGGAAUUUUCAUAAAUGACAAAAAGUUUCUGAAAAAAUAAACCACAGUAAACUAACCAUAAAUACUAAAUUUAAGAUUUAUGGAUGCAAAUAUAUAGACCAAAAUUAAACUAAAGUUCUAAAAGUAAAUUAAAACGUGAUAUAAUAAUUUUAACUUAAUAAAAGCUAUUGGUUACAACUACUUACAAGUUACAACCAUCUAUGUUCACAUACAUCAUUAAUUGGUAAAUGGAAGGAAAUAAUAUAAAAUAUAUAUGAUCCAAUUUGAUUCGUAUGGUUCUUUUUUACAAAAAUACGAAAAAAGAGAAAAGAAAAUUUAUAAAAAAUAAAGCAUUUGACAAAAAUAUUAUGAAUUUUAUCUUUUAGUGAUUUUGUGACGUGAAAGGUAAAUAGUUUGUGAAUUUUUUUGUUUUUUUUUUAAUUUCAAUAAAAAAUAUGAAUAAUUAGAUAUUUGAUAUUUUGAAUAAAAUAUUAUUACUAGACAACCUAUUUAAAUAUUGGAUCUCUCGAUUGCUAAUAUAUGUUAUAUGUCGGUUGAGUCAUGAUCGAUUUACACAAAUAUAAAAACUUUAAAAGGUAUAAAGAUCAACAACUAUAUAUUUAUAUAUAAUUUAGAUACACAUUCUUACACUGCAUUAAUAUUUUACUAUAGUUAGGUUAUUGUUACUUUUAAGAGAAUAUGUCAAGCUAAUGGUAUAUUUAAUUUGGUUUAAUGGAAAUUUAGUCAAAGAGACCUUGAAAUUUUAUCUAACAUCACAAAUAUAAUUUGAUUUUCGUUAUAUAUAUGUAUAUAUAUAUAUACACACACUUGUAUACUAUAAACUAAACAAAUUAAUAGAUUGUUUACAAUUAACAAAUUUAUUGAUUUGAAAAAAACAUAUUGUUUACAGAAUUUAGGUUGGUGGAUACAACUCUUUGCCAUAUUAAACAAAUAAUUUCUAUAAUACAAAAUUAUUCAGACUCGACACAACUCUUUGUAAUAUUAAACAAUAAUUAAUUCCACAUUUAAUAUUGAGAUUUAUAAUUGACGUCAAUUCUAUAAAUUAAAAAUAUAUUUUACUUUUAGUAUGAAAAAGUUUGAACAAAAUAAUAUUUAAUUAGUUUUGUUUUGUUGGGACUAGUCUUAAUAAGUGUUAUAGGGGUCCAUUUCCAAUAUAUUCAAGAGUGAUGGUGCAUAAAUAAUUAUGAGUUAUGGAUAAAAAUUUGAAUGCAUGUAUUAUCGUUUAUUUUAUGGAUAUCCUUCAAUAAACAUUUUUUUUAAUUUAUUUAUUUACGAUCGAUUAUAUUAUUAUUUCAAAUAAUAAUUGAUUAAUGGGUCGAUAUUGUUGAUUGUUACUAAUUUUAUUAUCAAGAAUAAUUAAUUUUGCUUCAUAAAAUUUAAAAUUUAAGCUUGUUCAAAUAAUAAAUUCAUCAAUUUUGUCUAUUUAGUUAAAAAAAAACAGUUUGUUGAUAAAAGUGUUUAAAAUAUGAAAAGUGAUUAAAUUCAUGUUUGAAUUUUGGACGAUUAUAAUCCACAUUUAAUUCUUAUUAUGAAAACUAUUAAUGGGAGGUUGAAAUUAUGUUUCUAUUACAUUGCCAGGUGUAAUGUAGAAAAUGAAUUGGAUGAUAAUAAAUAAUAUGAUUGCUUUAACUAAUCUAGAAAAUAAUGUGAUGGACAAAAUUGAAAGAAAAGUUAUAUCGAACUGAUGUAAAGGUCAAACUAUCCACUUCCAUUUCAUACAUCUAGAAAACUAUGUAAAAUAAAGUAAUAAUGUAGAGAACACAAAGAUAAGAAUUAAAUAUAUAUAUAUAUCAAUGAAAAUAUUAUAUAAAGUUUUAAAUUUUAUUAGACAACGUCCUUGUUUUAAUCUUGUAACACUUUAAAAGUAACGAAACAUUAAACCUAUUUACAAACUAUAUCAAAAUUCAUCAAUUUCAAAUAAUUUUUUUUUUCUAUUUAUAACAAAUUCUUAAAAGAUUUAAGACUUUUAUCCAUAUUUUUUAUUCAUCAGAUUUCAAUUUCAUUAUAAAAAUAUUUGAAUUUAUAGUUAAACUAUGAUUUUAUGUGUGAAAAUAAACAUAAGCUCGAUUCAUGGCGACUACCUAUCUAAUAAUUAAUUUCCUAUAAAUUUUAUUGACACCAAAUGUUAGAGGAUUAGGCGAAAACAUUUAACAAAUAUAGUAUUUUAUGUCAUAAACAAACUAAAAAAUGAAAUAUACAAUAGACUAUAAUUUGUUUUCUCAAAUAAAAAUAUACUAUAAAUAAUGUGAUCAUAUUAUAAUUUUAAAAAAUAAAUUAUGUAAUAUUUUUUUUGAAGGCGUAUAUGUAUUAAACACCAUAAAGAAACCACGCAGUCGGAGAUCAAGGCACAAAGCAAAGUUCCCUAUGAUAAGAAACGAUGAUGUCCUAAACACAAUCAAAUCAUACAGGAAAAAUCGAUGCAACCAAAGCAAAUACAAAAGAGAAUACAACUAAAGCUACUUGCAAUAUUUUUAAACCACAAUAAAAAAUCGCAGAAUUAUAGAAGCAUAACAAGUCACUCCGGUCGAUUGUGCUAUUACGAUAAAAUAAAUAGCAAGAGACCACAACACACACUCCUAACAAACUACUCUAUGAGAACCUGACGGUUGAAAGCACACUAAAAGAACAUCGAACAAACGGGUUGUUCCGAUGCAACUGUUCCGUAAGCUCAAAUUAAUUAAGGAUUAGUUUAUAUUUGUAAUUACAUUAGUUAGAGAACAUAUAUUUAAAAAAUAGAAUACAAUUAAAUCCUUGUAUUUUAAAAUUGUUUUCUUUUUUUUCUUUUGCUAAAGAAACCGAACUUGCCAACGAUAAAUGCGAGCAAUAAUAAUAAAGGAAGGUGGUGGAUACGGGAGAGAAGGUUGAAAGAAAAGGACGAGGGAGGGGCAAAAGAGUAAAUAACAGAAGAACUGUGGUUGAAUUUGGAAAUUUGAAAGAAAGGGCGGGACCGGGACAGGUGGUUGCUAUAUAUCUCGUUGAGGGGCCUGGGAUCUCUCAUUCGCAUACACACACCUCUUUCUAUCUCUUUCUCUCUCGUGUAUCGUUUCCUCCUUUUUAUUUUUUUGGCUUUUCAAACGAAAAUCGGGGCUCCUUAAAAGAGGGAAAAACAAGAUCGCAAACCCUAAAAAUCGACUAACAACAAGGGUUUGUUGAUCCCCUAAUGAAGCACUAGCCAUUUUUCCUGCAUUUUUCUUCAUCUGUUGCUGCUCUAGAUUUGGAUUCUCCUACUACAAUUAUCAAUCCUGUUGUUUUCAGUUUCACCAUUUUCAAAAGCCUUCUUCAAGGUUUGCAUUCAAUGUUCUUUCCUGGUAUUCUCGUUUUAGAUUGCUGUUUUUAUGUUGUUGAGAAUGUGAGAGAUGUGUAGUGUUCAUUUUUGUUUGGAGAAUUGGAACUCGAUAUAUUCUGGAAAUUUGAUUUUGUCGUGAGAUUUUUGGGUUUUUAGUUGAACUCGUUCCAUUUCGUUUCGUUGUUCUGGAAACUCUUUGUUUGUUCUCGAUGUUUCACUUUGCGAUUCUCGUAUGGUUUUGAUUUAUAGGUAUUUUAAAUUUCAUGUGUUUGUUCUUUCUAGUAGUUUUGUGUACUAUUCUUUGACUUCGGAAUGGUUUUUUAUCUUCUUCUUUGGUCAAGUAGUGGGGUGGGACAGAGUAGAUGUAUAAAUUGAAGGCACGGUUCUUUUAGGUAGUCUGGUUGCUGUUGGUUAUUAUUAUUAUUAUUUUUUUUGGAGUCUUCAGUCAUAAGGAACUUUAAUUAUUCGGUCUAGGACUUUGCUACAGUUCAAUCGUGUUGUUUUCAAUUCAUUUCUGAUUAGAUGCUGAUCUCAUUUGAUUUGUUUUCUUAUAUUCCAAUACAGAUGAAUAAUCUGCAAUUUGGUUCUUGUUGUUUUUUAUAUUUCAUUUAUUAGCAGCAAAGCUUGUGUUCAAGUUAUUUAUUGAUAUACAGUAUACUGAAGUGUUUGAUUUUGUUGUUUGAAGUUCAUCAUGGUAGCAACUGCUGCUACAUCUGCGUUUUAUCCUGUUCCUUCUUCAUCUUCUGAGUUUGGAGCAAAGAACAACAAAAUUGGAGGUGGAUCUGGGAAUUUGGGAGGGAUCAAGUCUAAAUCUGUGCCUUCUGGAAGUCUUCAGGUGAAGACUAAUGCCCAAGCCCCUUCCAAAGUAAAUGGAAGCUCAACUGGUUUAUCAACAUCUGUAGGUGGUAAGGGUGGGGAUGACUUCUCAUCAUCCCACCCACGAACUUUUAUUAAUCAGCUGCCUGACUGGAGCAUGCUUCUUGCUGCUAUUACCACUAUCUUUUUAGCAGCUGAGAAGCAAUGGAUGAUGCUUGACUGGAAACCUAGGCGGCCCGACAUGCUCAUAGAUCCAUUUGGUUUGGGAAGGAUUGUUCAGGACGGCCUUGUGUUUACCCAGAACUUCUCUAUUAGAUCCUAUGAAAUAGGUGCUGAUCGUACUGCGUCUAUAGAAACUUUAAUGAAUCAUUUACAGGUACAAUUGGAUUGAUGUAUUCUUAUGUUUUUGUGAGUAUCUAUUAUUUGUAAUUCUAUGUAUGCUUAUGAAAUGGAGAUAAGUAACUCCGGUCUAUGAUUUUUUUUUCUUCAGGAAACUGCCCUCAAUCACGUUAAGACUGCUGGUCUACUUGGUGAUGGAUUUGGUUCUACGCCAGAAAUGUGCAAAAAGAACCUGAUAUGGGUAGUUACCAAGAUGCAGAUUAUGGUAGACCGUUACCCUACUUGGUAAAUUUAAGUUCUUCCAUGAAGUAUUCGCUUCUAAAGAUGGAUUCAUUAUAACACUUGUGAUUUACUUGGGUGGGUGAGAACAGAAUUGAAUUUAAUUCAAUAGUUUUCCUUGUUUGUUUUAUCCCCUUAAGUUACAUAUCCAGUAUUGCCCUGUUCCUUGGGAUUAUUUAACAUAUUCACCUCACUUUCACCUUCCAAAAAUAAUUGAUUAUGGAAACGUUGGACUUUCUAGACCAAUAAGUCUAUGAAGUGGGCUUUGAUUUACACUUUUUUUUUAUAAGGUGGAAGUUUUUGAAGCCUCCCUCUGUCUUUUCUGCUUUAGCUGAUCUCUUCUUCCGUCUUUUAUUAACUAUAUGCAUGAGAUAUUGGAGAUUGUUGUGCUUACAGGGGUGAUACGGUUCAAGUAGACACUUGGGUCAGUGCUUCUGGAAAGAAUGGCAUGCGCCGUGAUUGGCUCGUGUAUGAUUGCAAAACUAGGGAAACUUUGACAAGAGCUUCCAGGUUUGUUACUUUCCCCCUUUUUGAUGAAACAUGGAAUCGUUUUUCUUCAUAGCUGUUGCAUUUUCUUUUUUCUCAACCCAUGAAUUAUAAAGUUAACCAGCUUUGAUUGAAUCGAUAAUCGAGUAAUUCUGGUCAUAGGUGAUGUAGGUUCUUGUAUAAGUUAUGAAUUUCUAAUGUGUGUUCCGUAGAGAACAGAAACAAAAUUUGCAUAAACUACAUUCACUUUUUUUUCAAUCUUAAUUCUAAUUGAUCUUUGCAUUGAGAUCGUGGAUUAUGAUUGCAUUCUUUUUUUCUACUAUCAAGCCAUGGCAUAUGUAGUGAUCAAAUCAUAGUUUACUGAUAGAGAUAUAUUUUUUGUGAUGUGAAGUAUCUGGGUUAUGAUGAAUAAAGAGACAAGAAAGCUGUCAAAGAUUCCUGAGGAAGUGAGGAGAGAAAUAGAGCCAUUCUUUAUGAAUACUGCGCCGGUUAUUGAAGAUGAUGGAAGGAGGCUUCCAAAAAUUGAUGAUGAUAAAGCUGAUUAUGUUCGAGCGGGUUUGACUGUAAGUUGUUUCAUUUAGCUAAAAUGUUACUUGAGAAAAGGAAGUUGGCACUGGGUGUUUUUGUGUUUCAUUUGGAAUUUGGUUCAAUAAUAUAACUUUCACUAUGCUUUUGUACAUAGAAAUUGAUCUCAUGGCACCUACAUUUCUGUACUGCAGCCUAAAUGGAGUGAUUUAGAUGUCAACCAGCAUGUGAACAAUGUGAAGUACAUUGGCUGGAUUCUUGAGGUAGAUAAAUCUUAACUUUUCUUAUCAUUGACUUCGAUACUUUCCGAAAAUAGUGUGCCCCAAAAUUUUCUUAUCUCGCACUCAUACAUUUCUCCAACAUUUUACACCGUAACUGUUCUUCUAAAGCUUGGUUUCCUCUUUUUGAUCGGCAAAUUAUGCUUGUGGUCAAUAGAGUGCCCCACCACCGAUAUUAGAGAGUCAUGAACUUUCUUCCAUCAAUUUGGAGUAUCGGAGGGAAUGUGGGAGGGACAGUGUCCUGCAGUCACUCACUGCAGUUACUGGCACGGAUGUUGGAACUUUAGCAACUUCUGGCGAUGUUGACUGCAAUCACCUACUUCGGUUCGAGAAUGGGGCUGAGAUUGUGAGAGGAAGAACAGAGUGGAGACCCAAAUUGGGCAACAAUUUUAGGAUCCUGGAUCAUAUUUCAGCUGAUCAAGGAAUUUAAGCUGCCAUCUCAGAGGAGUGUUCCUGCUGUAUCCAUGGUUUGCACCAAAUUCUGCUUUAAAUCCUCAGAUAUAUAUGUCUAUAAAUAUGGUUUUUCUCAUUCGUUCUCUUCUAUAAACAGGAAAAGAAAAAGGAAAAAAAAAAGGUUUAAUUUCAUUGUAAUUAUCUCUUAUCUAUUAUUUUUCCCUCUUGUCCCCAGAAGGCUACUAUAUAAUGUGUUUAUCUUGCUCAGCCUGGUCGGUUGCUAUGCAAUCAAUGUGUACCCACCGCUGGCUGAUUGUCUCACAGCAGGUUCGAAAAUAUUUUUGUGUAUAUUUUCUUGCAUUUUCUUUAAUUUUUGUUUGGAACUGGAAAAAAAAAAAGAGAGAUUUUUUCCCCAUUUUUUUGCCCUCGAAUUGUCGCUCUUCUGCACUCACUUUGCUUUGAGCAGAUUGGAAAAUAUUCAUAACUUGUGUUUGAAAUUGGUUGGAAAAAGAAAAAAAGAACCCAGGGGUGAUACUUGUAUGUUUUCUUGCUGUUUCUUUGACUUCUCUUUGGCAUUUUUAAAUACCAUUUUUCUCUCCCAGGAGUUCGAAUUAUCCAAUUUUUUAUGUGUGGAAAAAGCUGGGGUGUCUAGAUUUUCGUCCCAGAAUUAUUUACUUUUGUGGUAGUGGAAUUUGGUAAAAACUAAAAAGUGGCAUUUAUUAGUCUUUUAAUGCUAGCUGGGUCACAGUUAUUGUUUGUUUUGAUUUGAUGGCAAUUACUAAAGCUCAAUUAUUGCACAAAAUUUAUGCCCAUCUCAGUUGGUUAAAAAGCUGGAUGAGUGAAGUGGUGGCUUUUAUAUUAUUAUUAUUUGAAAUUGAUAUUGCAAUUUUCGUGCCUUUAUAAAAGAAUUCUUUGACUUUGACAAAAUAGUUUCAAGAAUUGGACAUUGUGAUUUUUGGCCAUUGAGAUGAAGUUCUCUAUUAAUUGUCUUCUUUAAUAAUAUAAAGUUUUGUUUAAAAAACAUUAUAUAUAUACAUAUAUUUCUUAAAUUAAAAGGUGGCUUUAUAAUUGGAUUUUUUUUUUGUCGUCAUUAUUAUUCUUUGGAUACUAUAAUCUUACUAUAGAGGUGAUUUCUAGUCUCCGUAGUUAAUUCUUUAAAAGAUAUAAUUAUUGGAGUGGGACAGAAGUUGGAUGAACACGUUCUAAUUAAAAAGUUUUGUUUGAUUUUAUAAAAAAAGUGUCUAGUUAUUGGGAUGGUUCUUAAAUUGUAAACUUGAAAAUAAUUAUCCAACAAAAGUGGUAAGGAUAUUGAGUUUGCUUAAUUAAAUAAUAACCUCCAUAGUCCCAUUUUUACCUAAAUGCGAAACUAGCUAAAUAUUACAUAAUAAAGUUAAUGUGGAAAGUAGAAUUUCUUCAACUUUUAACUGCGAACAAUGAUCGGAAAGACUAUUCUCAUGUGAAAUGACCUAAUUCUAGGGAAGUCUCGAAGUUUUGAUGCAAUGUUCUUCUAAAUCACUAGUCGACCAAUCAAGGUUGUAGGAGUUCUCAGGGUGAUGAUUUAAUUUUCAUUGGUUUUUCUGGAGUUGGGUCCUUUCGCGUUAACAGCUUCAUGAUUGGAGAAAAAAAAUAAACUUAUUUGCCUCACCUUGAGGUAAAUACGUUUGAGUUGAUAUAGUGGAGGCCUCUGUCUCACCACUAGUUUUUAGAAACCCAAAGUAUUUGAAACUUACUAUUAAAUUGAAGCCCAACUAAAAGUAUACAAAAAUUGUGUACAUAUUUAUAUAUAAAAUUAAUACAUAAUGUAAGAAGGGUCCAAUAAUGAGAAACAUCAAAAGUGUAUCUCCAUGUGCAAAAAGGCAAGAAAUGAAACUGCCCAUCUGCUGCUCAGUGUGAACUAGGAAGUUAUUAGUCAGAUUGGAUGAGUUUGAAUGCAUUACCUCCGUUUUCUUCAAAAAAGAAAAGAAAAAGAAAAGAAAACCCUUUUUUUAAAAAAAAAUUAUUAUCUCUAUUUUCAUUUCCCAUUAAGAAUUUAUUUCUAAAAAAAUUGAUACAAACCUUAAUAAAAGUAACAAAUAUCAACAUGUCUUCGGGACGAUUCGUACAUUGGUGAUAAACUUCUAUUAUUGUAUCAUUGAUAGACUCGUUUUAUAUGUUAAUAUUUUGAAUUUAAUAACUAUACAUGACAAUUGCACCACUAAUUAAUGAUUUUAUUUUUCUUUUUAAUAAUGUAGGAGCAGGAGAUGAAAUCUUAAACAUCAAGAUUAAGAAUGUUAAAGCUAUAUUCAUGUCAUUUGUUAUAGCUUAGUAGAUUAAUUAUGGAUAUCUAAUUAUCAAAAGAAAUAGGAGUGAAUAAUAUCGUCAAAACCACCCACAACUCUAUGUAAUAAUAAUAUUUUCUUAAAAAGAAGCCUAUGGUAUAGUUAAUUACAUUAAGAAGUAAACAUAGCAAACAUAUAUAUGCUUAUUUUUACAAAUAUAUGUAUGGAUGUAUGAGCUUUUCUUCUUCUUCUUCUUUAAAUUUGUGUGUGUUUUCAAUUAAAAAUUUAAAUGUUAUUAAAUAUGUAUUUAAAUGAGAUUAUGAUAUGAAGAUAGAAAUGAGAUCUAAAUGGCCCAUCACAUGAUGGUUUUGGAAGUACUUUUUUUCUAAAUUAAAAUAUAAAGUGCAAAAUGGGAAAAGUGGACUUGUCUUUGUUAAAAAAAAAAAAUUUAAUUAAAUUUACUGUUGAUGAUGAAAUGUCAAUUGAAUCUCUCUUUUUUGACCUUAAAUAAUAUGGGAAUGGGAAGUGUACGAGUCCUUAUCAAUUAAAAGGAAAAUAAAUAAAAUUAUUAUUUUAGAAAGAAAAAAAAAGAUUGAAUUGUGUAAAAUCCAAAACAACUUUGUAAAAGCAAAAUGGUCAAAUUAAGAUUGUACAUUGCAUUAAAACUUUGGUCUAAAUCCAAUGGAAUCCUAGGGCUUCAUUCUACCCUAACUUCCUUUUUUCUUUUUAAAUAAUUAUAACAGAAAAUAAUUUUAGAAAUAAUAACGAAGUAUAUAACAACAUUUUUUUAAAAAAUUAUAAAUAUAUCAAAGUCUAUCCGUGAUAGACGUUUAUCACCUUAUAAGUGAUAAACCAAUAUUUGCAUGUAAUAUGAUCUAUUAACGAUCAACUUUAAUAGAUUUUGUUAUAUUUGUAAUAUUAUUUUUAAAAUGUUGCUAUAUAGUUAAUUAUUUUAAAUCUAAUGACUAUAUUUGUAACUCUAUCAUUUUUUUUUUUUUUGGUGUAACUUGUUUUUUGGUUUAAGUUUUACUUUCACCGUUGGAAUUUAGUUAGAUAUAGACAUUUGAAGAGUUUUCUUCAAUCCAAAAGAAUGGAUGAUUAAUGUAGAAGAAUUAAAAGAUGUACGUGAAAUUAUUUAGAUAAAUUGUCGAGACAAUUGAUGCAUAAAAUUGAUUAUGUAAAUGAUUUUAUCGAUAUAUAUUUUUAGAUGAAUUGAUCACUUAAAGUAUAACAAAAUCCAAACGUGAGUAUAAAUUAAUACGAGUAUGAUUUAAUACACUUACGAUUUUAAUUGAUACAACCUUUAGGUUGAAGGACACUAGACUUGUAAGUUUUAUUAUUUUAUAUUUAUAUGAAAUAAGUUUUUUUAAAGUAUAAAGGUGAGCAUCGAUCGAUUAGAGUCCGUUUUUCUUUAUAAUCAGAGUCUUUAAAAAAAUUUAAACCGAUAUAGAUCGAACCAUUUCUCCCUCACCGAUUGACUAUCUUCGAUUCGGUUGACAUAGUUGUUCAAUCUAUCGUAUUUACUCCUCGAGAGAACGUUAAACGGAAGAAAAACGUGGGGGGAAAGGAGUAUUUGUUAAGUUGGGCAACAGAAAAUGGUACGUUAUAGUGAAGAAUACAAAGUAUAUGAAAAACCGUGUGCUUCACUGCUGAUCACAACUAAACUGCUUUUGCAGUAAACUCACUUUGGCUUCGUAUGGAGACCCACAUCACUCUCUCUCUCUCUUUUCUUUUGCUUUCAGUGCUAAUAACUCACAUUCCUCCAAUCACAACUUGCCACGUUUACACCCUCCACGUGUCCUUUCCUUCCAUAUCUCUCUUUUCGGAUUCUCGACAUAUAUGGACAAAUCGUAAAAGUGUUCGAAAUUAUUUACAAACACAAUAAAAUUUUAUAGUACAUAAAAUGAUAAAUUUCUGUAAGUGUUCGUUCGAUCUCACCGGUAGAAAUCUAGUCUAUUUUUGAAUUUUUGUUAUAUUUAUAAAUAGUUUAAUUUAUUUUACCAUAUCUAAAAACAAACCCUAACGAAAGUUAUUCUUAAAUUACAUGAGGAUUUAGUACUUAUCAACAUAAUUUUACUGAAAGUAUUUAUUAAAUGUAUUAUAUUAUUAUGAAAACUAAGGGACGAAAACGAAAAUUUUAUUUUAAAAGUAUGUCACGUGUUAAAUUGUGGUUAUACGAAAUAGAGAUGUGUUAUCUAAAUAUUUUUCGUUAAUUAAUAAGUUUAAAUUCAUAUAAAAAUAGAGAUGAUUGAUAAUGCGAAUAGGAUGAAAAAUACAAUAAAUUGUAUAGUUAUUCAAAACACGUUAAUAUAGUCGUGAUUCAAACUCGAACAUAUAUAUCUCAAUUCAUGGUAAAAAUAAUUAAAGAUGUAAAUUUUUUUUAACUUAAUAAAGAAAUAUAAAAUACAACAACAUAUACUUGAAUGAUUCUCUCAUAAAACAAGAAUUGGAAGUAUUAAAUCAUAAUCAAUUAGAGUGUGAAUUUAAUGUUUGGAAGUUAUUGAUUGUCUGAUUCUAAGUUUAUAAUUGUUAGUGGUUGAGAUGUAAUAACUCAAAUAUUAUUAUCAUUAUUUUGUCUUUAAGACUUUGCAUGCAUUGACAUGUUUCAUAAAUUCCAUGAUUUAUUACAUAUAAUUGUAUUCACAUAUUAUACAAAUAUUCUUGAAAAUGGAUGGAUAUUUGAAUGAAAUGUAUUAUAUUAUAAUUUGUACAAUACGUAUAAAAUUAGGUAAGUAUAGUUAUCGAUCACUAAAAAAAAGAGAGUAGAAUCUCAUUGAUGAACUACCACUUAUUUCGUUUCCGUGAUAAACAACUCAUUGGGGUCCUACUCAUAUGUUGAGUGCCUUAAGAGGAAAAAUGAUAACAUUUUUCAAAUACAAAAAAUUGUUCAUUUACCCUACUCUUUUCAUGUUAUAUAUGUUGGGUUUUGAUAUGGAAAUUUAGUGUGGUAUUGGUUUAUUCCAUUGCCAUUUUGAUGGGUUGGUGAUUGAAAAGAAAAAAAAAGAUGGUGGACCCUAAUGAAAAAUAAAGAAGAAAAUGCUUGGGGGGGCACUAUGUCAAGAAAACAAAGAGAGGAUAUGGUCAUUCACUCUUGUUUGUUUGAGUUAUGUUCCUUAGAAGUUUCCCCUAUGUCAUUUCACACCAUAUUUUCUUUACCUUUUUCUCCCUUCAUUCUCGACUCUUCUGAGUCACAUGAUUUAUCGUUAAAAAUGUUCGGAUAAGACCUUUCCUUAUAAUGAUCUCAAAGUUAAGGACGAAAUGAAAAUCAAACGAUUGAAAAGAUGUUUGUUAAAGGGAAAAAUCGACAAAAUGCAUUCGGGUCAGUGAGCGUGCAAAUAAACACAUAACAGAGACUUCCGAAGAAGAAAAAGGUUGGUUACCUUUCAAAAUGUUUGCUAAAUCCAUAGAUAAAUAAGAUCAAAUUGAAGUUGAUCCAGAACAUUGAUCAAUACUCAUUAAACAGCUUAUGAUGUUAGUUUAUUGGAUUUGAGUUAUCAAGACAAAACUAAUAAUAUAAUCAAUAACAGUUAUUACAAUAAUAAAACUUUAUUAAUAACUGUCAAUAGAUUAUAUUUACACUCUACGAGUUUUAUAACACAAAUGACACGAUGGACAAAAACAUCUUAACAAAGAGAAACAAGAAAAAUGAGAUCAUAUAUGCUUUAACAGGAAAUUACUUCGUAGUCAGAUAGACACAAUGCCUCUCUAUUUGUUCAAAAUCCAUUAAUGGAAAGGUAAAUGCAUUAAAAUUUUCUUUUUCUUAUAGUAAGAAAAGUUGUGUGUGCCUUUAAUUAAUUUGUGUAGCCAUGUUGCCUUUUGUCUUAGUUAGGCGCUACCAACCUUUGUUUGAGAGUACUCUUCACCUAUAGGAUCAUAUAGUUUUCUUAAUUAUUAUAUAUCUCUAUAUAUAUAAUUAAUAUAUGAGACCUAAAGCCCAACCAUUAUAUAUUAAUAAUGAGAUAUUUUUGGUGGAGCUUUUAGCCUAUAAUAAAAGUGAAAUAUAGUAAUUAAUUGAACUAUAUGUAUUUUUUUUUAAUACUAAGAGCAUAUGUUAUUAUAUAGUUGGCUCAAAUAAUUUCUAUUAUUAUAAAGUAUACAUGUGUGUGCGAUAAAUUUUAUAUAUUUUUAGAUCUUAAUGUAAAAUGAUAUGUUCCUUGGGAAUGUGUAGAGAAGUUUGGAGAUUACUCGAUGUUGUGAUUUUUUUUUGUGAAUUUCUAUGUAUGGGAUUUUUUAAAAAUCACUAACCAUAAAGGUAAUGAUUCAAAUCUAUUUUAGAGUUAAAUCAUAUGUGUUUAGCAACAAAAUUUCUAAACUUUUAUUUAUUUAAUUUCUUGAAUUUAAUAAAAUUUUAAACUUUUAAUUUAGUAGCUAUAAAUAUAUAGAAAUCAUGACAGAAUAACAAUUAUAACAUUUAUUUUAGAUAUAAUAUUUAAUUCUAAGAGUCUAUAUUGUCUUAACAUGUUUUUAAAUAUAUAAUUAAGUCAUUUUAAAAAAAAUAGAUAUUUGACAAUAACUUUUUAAAAUAACAUUUUAAAGUUUUAUUUUUUUAAGUCAAUACAAACAUAACAUUAGUAAUAGUUUAAAUAAAAAUUUAUUAUAGAUAAAAUUUAUCACUAAUUUAUUUUAGUGUAUAUAACGUUUUUUUAAAAAUAUUGUUAUAAAUUAGUUAUUGGUCCUAAAAUAAUAAUUUCUAUUAUUAUAAAGUAUACAAACGGUCCUAAUAUUGUUAUAAUUUAGUUUAAAUAAAUUAGACAAAUAAUGUAAAAGUAAAUCAAUGAAAGGUAUAAUUUAACCUUUCUAGCAAUAAAUUACCCAAAAAAAAAAAUAAUAACUUUUCACACUUUUUCCUUCAAAGUUUUACCUUUAUAUGGUUUUAAAUAAAGCAAAGCUAUAGAAAUUAACAAACAAAAUAAAAGAAAAUCAAGUAAUAUCCCUCUCUCUACUUCAAAACAUCACUUUCAAUUUUCAAAUCAAACCCUAACCCUAAUCCAAAAGAGAAAAUUUCACUCAAAAGCAAAAAAAAAAAAAAAAAAAGGGGGAAAAAGGAGAACAAAAUGAAAGCUACUUUUGAAUCAAAAUUGACUUUGAAAUCACUUUUGUUGGGUUUUAACCAUGCUUGUAAUUAUAACUAAUUAAAACCAUUAUUAAUAAUAUAAUUGAAUUAGUAACACCUUCUUUCUUUUUCUUCUUCUUAUUCUUUAAUUAAUUUGGGUGUGAGGAUAAAAAAAAAAUUAAAAUAGGAUUUCAUUUUAAAUAUUAACUAAUUAAGAAUUGCCCCACUAAUUAACUCUUUUUCUAUUUGCUAAAUCUCCAAUUAACUUUAUAGGAUGCUUUUGAUUUGAUCAAGUUAUAUAUGAACAAAAAUUAUGAUUGUGUUCAUUGAAGGAUGAUUACAUUAUUUUGUGGAUGAUAUAUUUUUAUUAUAUUUGGAGUGAAAGCAAAAGAAAAUGGUAUAGUAAAUCAUUAAAAUGAUAAGUAAGAGAAUAUUUUCUUUUGAAUUAGAUUCAAUCUCCUAAUUUAUAUAACAUUUAACUAAAUUUUAGAUUAUAUAAUAUUUAUGAUAAUUUUUUUUUUAUCAUUUUGACCAUUUACUUUUUUUUUUUCUCCUUGAUUUUCAAUAUAUAUCUAAUGACUUGAAAAAGAUGUAAAUAGUUUCUUUUGAUUUUCCAUAAAAGAAUUCACUAUUUCAGGAUAAAAUUAAAAACAAAAUUAUUUUUAAACAUACCAAAAUAAUAUAAUUAUAAAGUAUUUCAAAAUUUCAUAACCUAUCAUUGAUAAAUAUUAAUAAAUCGAUAAUAUAUUAGUAUUUACUAGGUAAACACAUAUAAAUAAUUAUAAAAUUUCGUUGUAGUUACAAAUAUUUUUUAAAGAGAAUUUUAAAAAAUAAUAAAAUUUAAAAAAUAUUUAUAACAUAUAACAAAAUUUCAGAUUCUAAUAAUAAUAAACACUGAUAGACACUGAUAUGCUACUAUAGGUGAUAUUGAUAGAUAAUAACAAAAGUUUAUUAAUUUUUAUAGUAAAUAUUUUAAUUUGUUUUAUUAUUUUUAAUUUUUUUUCUUUUGAUAUAAUUGAUUUUUUAAAAAUAAAUUUACAUUUUUUGAAAACUAAUUUUUUCUUUUAAAACUUUAGUUAAUUUUUUAAGACGUUUACUUAUUAUCUUAAUAUAAAUAUAUAUAUAUAUAUAUAUAUAUAUAUAUAUAUAUAUAUAUAUAUAAAGUUUUCAAACCAUUAAUAAAUUAAAAACCAAAACAACUACUUUUAAUCUUUAUCAUUAAAAUGAUUUCUUAAAAUAGGAAAAAAAUUAUUGAAAUUUAAUUAUUCCAAACCAUUACGUUAAGUCAAUGUAUCUUUACUUUUACUUUGACUUUUGUGUUCAUAGAUAAGGGAGAAAUUUUAUACACAAGAGUAAUUUUAUUUUAUUUUUUCAUAUAUUUACAUUUAAAACUUUAACAAAAUAUAAAUACAACUUCAUUUUAAAAAACAAAUCUAUUGUUUUAUAAAUAAAAAAUGAUGACAAUAAUUUACGUUAAAAUUGACCUCGAAUGAUUGAAUACAUAUGGAUGCAUGGAAAUUUGCUUAUACAAAUACAAAUAAAGUUUUUGAAUUUGAAAAAUAUGGAUUAAAGAAUUAAAAAAAAUAAAGUUUUGAUUCUAAAUUUGAAACUAAAGUUUGAAUUUCAAGAACACAAAAAGGACACAAGUAUUCUAAAAAACAAAUCCAAAGAAUGGCAUUGGGAUAAUCAUAAAAUCAUGAGAAUCCAAUUCCAAUUCCUCUUUUUGUGAGAUUGUGAGAAUUGAGAUUAAGUAAUCAAAAUAAAUUAGAUUUUACUCUUUAUAUAUAGUUUAAUAAUAUCUCAUUUGAUAGUUUUUUUAAUAAAUAUUUAUCAUAAAAACCAUUGGUCAGAGUUGUUGCAAACUUUUUCCAGGAACCAAAUUGUAAAAUAUAUCAGAUAUCACUACAAAAUAGUAAAACACUUCCAAAUAUAACGGUAGGAAUAGAUUGGAGUGAGUAUCGGCUCAGUCGGUUUUCAGACCAAACAUACUACGAUUAACUUUAGUAAAUGUUAAAACUGAUAUUGAUCAUGAAAGAGUGCGUCAAUCAAUCUACCAAUCAAUUAAAUUCGACUUAAACCUUUGAUUUUCUUAAAAAUUAUGCUUUAUGUUUAGAUUUUUCUCAAACAGAUUUAGAUCGAAUCUCCUCUUAUCUUUAAUCGACUACUCUUAGUUUGAUGGAUCGAUUCAUUUCAUCAAUCGUUCAUGAUCCCUCAGCUAAAACUAGCUCAAAGCUAACCAUUGUUUUUAUAGUAAUUUUUGCUUGUAAAAUAAUAAUUUUAGUGUUUAUAUGGAUGGAGAGGAAAAUUCCAAUAUGGAUCAAAAUUAAUCCAAACUCAACUAACAUAGUCGGAGAAUAUCCCAAGUUCAAUUUUCUCACAAAAGAGGGACACAUUUUAGUUUUUCUUUUCUAUAAUUUAAUUAUAUAUCAUUUUUUUUGGCUAAAUUGUAAAUUAUAUUCAAAACUUUUGAAAAUUAUUCUCGAGGAAGAAAUUAGAACUAUUAGGAGGUAAGAUGAGAGCACCACCAAUGUAUGAAUUUUACGUGUUUGAAGUACUAUAACGUUUAUUUUCCAUCUUGAUAUAUGAUUCUCUUCAGGUCAAUUUUGAAAACCAAUACCCAAUGAAUAAUAACAGAUCUGUUUUCCAGUAUAUUCAUUGUUGAUAUUUGAUAAUAUUUAUAAUAAUACUAUUUUACGAUAUAGUUUUGACAAUAAAUUUUUCGCUUGAGUGAUUUAUAGUCGAGUUGACCUGUAGAAGACAUCUCACCAACUCAAUAUUGAUAGGAUUAUAACACAAACUAAUUGCUUAACUCUAUGUCAACUGUAACUUGAGUCGAGCCUCAUACCUGGAUGACAAUGCCAAGUAGUUUGACGGUAAAAACAGUCCGCUAGACUCGACGAUUACCCUAAUGUCUUUCGCGAGGUAAUAUUGUAAAUCUAGAAAAAGAAAAAAGCAAUUUUUAAGAAAUAAAAUUUAUAAUUUAUAAUUUAAUUUUUUGAUGUCUAUUUUUAUUUAAUUUAAUUUUCUCUAACUUCUAUAGUGAUGACUGGCGAAUUGGUACCUUGAAAUUAAAUUAAAUUAAAUUUAUUUUCGUUGGGUGGGGAAAAGGGCAGAAAAUGCCAUACAAGUUAUUCUCUUGAUUCGAGGAGAGAGUUGUGUUCUUCUUCCCAACAUUUUUCAUGGAGUUUCAUUUCAUUGUUGAAAAAGGAGAGAGAUCAGAUUCAGAUCGAUUCUUAUCAUCAACACAACUUUCUUCUCCAUUCAUCACAUUCCUAGCUCAUUCUCAUCUUCUCUUCCACUUUAACUUCAACUACUCACUUUCUCUUCUUACUCAAUAUCAUGCCUCUUCUUCUCUUUCUUUCUAGGUUUUUUUAACUUCUACCUUUAAUUUCUUUCCCUCCUUCUCUUGCAUCACCUCACUUCAUCUUCCAGGUUUCUUUCUCUUUCAAUUCAUGUUUUCCUUUGUUUCAUUGCUCAAACUGAACUGAGCUUUGUUUUGAAAUUGUAAUUGUAGGAGCUUGUUUGUUAUUUACUUUUUUUUUUUUUUUAAUGAAGAUGAUGAUCGGAGGAUGUUACUUGUUUUAUGUGUUUGUAAUGUGCUUUCAUUUUCUUCUUCACUUUCUAAUUUUGCUAUGUUUGGCAGUUUUCUUCCUCCAGAUCUAUGGUUCACUUUGCUGUUUUGAUUUAUGUUUCUGGCUUUAAAUCUGGAUUUCCUGUUGCCAUGUGCUUGUACUUGAUGAAAAUAGGGGUUUGUUGUUGUUGUUGUUUUUGGAGGUUAGGGAUGGGGUUUCGGGGCAAAUGCAUCUCGAUCUUAACUUGGAAAAUGCCUUAUGUUGUCUCUGGAAGACUUGUUUGUUUGGGUUUUUGUGAAUUCUAACAGAUUUUUUUUUUGUUAAUUCAUGAAUCUGACCUUUCCUGAAGCUUCUGUGUACUUAUUUUGCUUUCGGACCUGCACAAGCCUGCUAAAAUGAGCUUCAGCUUAUAAUGAUUUUGCUUUAAGAGAUAUACUUCUACAUUACUUCAAGGAUUUUCGAUGGAAGUUUUUGUAUAGAAUGCCGUUGGAGUAUGAAACUAUUGCCUUUCCUUCCCUUUUUUCCUUUUUUCUUUUCAACUCAUUCUUUUUACUUCUUUCUCUUUUUCACAUUUACUUUCAUCAAUUUCGUCCGUUACAGAUGUUUCAAAUCGGAGCUUCUUUAUUAUAGUUAAGAUUUCAAAGUUAUAUGAGUUGUCUUAUCUGAUUUAAUUUCUAGUGUUCACAAUUUUAAGCUUUGAUUAAUUGAUGCCAGGCUUAUAGUUAUGGUCUUGAAUGCAACAUACCGAAUGCGUGUUUCUAAAGAAAGAAGUUGUGGCUGCAGAUACACCAGAAAGUUUGCUGAAGAGUAGUUUCUAAUGUCUUGUGGAAGCUAGGAAACAUUUUUCGGCAGAAAAGAGCUUGUUCACAUACCAUGUUCUGAAUUCAUCCAACCACCUCGAUUCCUAGUGCUCGUCUUCCAGAUCAUAAAGCAUCUCACCAUGCUCAAGCAAAUACUGAGCAAACUUCCUAAGAAGUUGCAGAAAUCGGAUACGGUGGAUUCUGCAACAAAUGAGUCUGGCAACAAUACUUCUCGUCUGGGACAUGUAUUCCAGUGUACAAAUGUAGGGAGCGCCUUCUCGAGUAAAUUAAAUGUUGUGAAGCGUGUUUCAUCAGCGGUUUUCCCUGCAAGUAUUGCAGCAGAAGCAGUGGAUCCCCACUUGUCAUUCAAAGAUGUUCCGAAUCCGCAGAAGCAGAACUUGUUUGUCAGUAAAUUGAACUAUUGCUGUGAGGUUUUUGAUUUGAAUGAUAUGGAGAAACAGGAUCUUAAACGUCAAAUGUUGAUAGAUGUUGUUGAUUUUGUUACAUCUGGAUCUGCAAAGUUCACUGAGACAGCAAUUUCAUCAGUAUGUAAGUUGUGUGCUGCUAAUCUUUUUCGCGUGUUCCCACCCAAAUCACGUUCAACUUCAACUGGUGGAGAAACAGAGGAUGAAGAACCAAUAUUUGACCCAGCUUGGUCACAUUUGCAAAAUGUAUAUGAUCUACUGCUUCAUUUUGUCAGUAGCAACUCCCUAGAUGCAAAAGUGGCCAAAAAAUAUCUUGAUCAUUCUUUCAUCCUGAGAUUGCUCGACCUCUUUGAUUCCGAUGACCCAAGAGAAAGAGAUUGCUUGAAAACAAUCCUUCACCGUGUCUACGGAAAGUUCAUGAUACACAGGCCUUUCAUCAGGAAGGCUAUUAGCAAUGUCAUGUAUCGUUUUGUUUUCGAGACGGAGCGGCAUAAUGGAAUUGCAGAGCUGUUGGAGAUUUUUGGUAGCGUGAUUACCGGGUUUGCAUUGCCAUUGAAGGAGGAACACAAGACAUUUUUAUGGAGAGUUCUAAUUCCUCUUCACAAACCAAAAUCAGUCGGAAUUUAUCAUCAGCAGUUAACAUAUUGUAUUGUACAGUUUAUAGAUAAGGAUCCUAAGUUGGCCAGUACAGUUAUAAAGGGACUUUUAAGAUAUUGGCCUUUAACAAAUAGCCAGAAAGAGCUGAUGUUUUUAAGUGAAACAGAAGAGAUUUUGGAAAUGAUCAGCAUGGUUGAGUUCCAGAAGAUCAUGGUCCCUCUCUUUCGUCGAAUCGGAUAUUGCUUGAAUAGCUCUCAUUACCAGGUAUGAUUAUUGCUUCCUAGAUUUUAAGGGUCUGAUUUAGAUUGCUGUUUUCUUUUAUUUAACUGCAUUUCACUAGAUUUUGGUUUUUCUUGUGUUAUUGUAUAUGCAUAUUUUACAAGCAUGGAACGGCUUCAAAUGGAUUUAUUCCUUGAUAAAUAUGAAGAAUUAGGAUUCGUUCCAAGUCCCUAAACCUAGUCUAUGUUGAUUUGAUUCGACUCCAAUGUGUUUUUGAGUGUUUAGUUGAUUUUUGGUUGGUACAUUUGUUUACUUUUCCAAUUCUCUUAGGUGGCAGAGAAAGCUCACUUGCUUUGGAACAACGAACACAUCAUCAAUCUUAUCGCUCACAACCGGCAAGCGAUCAUACCGAUUAUCAUCCCAGCUCUUGAACGAAAUACACAAAAGCAUUGGAACAAUGCCGUACUAAAUCUAACUUUAAAUGUGAAGAAGUUGGUUCACGAGAUGGACGAGGAACUCGUGCUUGCUUGCCAGGUUGACUUGAAGGAGGAACAGUCGAAGUUGGUUGCAGCGGCAGAGAAGAGGAGAUUGACAUGGGAGCGGCUCGAGAAUGCUGCAAGACCACAGCCAAUAUCUCCUAACAUUUCAUUUCUGGUAGAACCAGCAACUUGUGCAGUUGCUGGCUAAGCCACUCAGAAUCGGAAGAUCUGAGUCAACAAAACAACGGUAUCAUCAUUACUUUUGCAGUAGUACACCCGGAUCAUCUAGUUCUUUGAUUCAACUGCACAAAAAGCGUCUCAUCCGUCUCAUCGAGAUUGCGACGAACAAGUUACAGACGAUGGAUAUGAUCAGGUCCUGAUGAAACUUUCUGUACAGGUGUGUGGGUAAAAAGCAGGAGCAGCCUAUUUGGUUGUUAUUGCCAUAAAUUUGAGGAAAUCUGUAUCCUUGAUCAAACAGUGUGUUUCUUCACUGUUUUUUUCUUUCUUUUUUCUUUUUCCUUUUUCCAUAUCUCAUUCAUGAUGGGAUUUUGUGCUUUUGAGUUCCAAUGGCACUGGCAGCGUAUUGAUGAAGCCUUCAGCUAUGAGCUUGUUUGUUCUUCUGAAAAUUCAAUGUCUUUCUUCUCUUGAAUUCCAAACAGGAUGGUGAAUCAUCCUCAUUUCUUUGAGAUGGUGAUGGAGCCCGAGAAUGCAUUUUUCUGUCCUUUGCCUUUUAACCCUCUUUUUUUAUCUCCAAAAUUAUAUAAUAAAAUGUACAUUUUGCUCUCUCUAUAUGUAUUGGCGGAGGGCGGAGGGCGGAGGGCAGAGGUUUGAAUCAACCUUAGCAAUGUAAGUGAUAUUUCUUGUUGGAAAAAAUACCUUUUUUUUCGGGUUUAGUUUCUGUUUGAUUCUUGCACAUUUAUGUCUUAUUUGGUAACCACCUUGUUUUUAUUUCUUAUUUUUUCCAGAUUUCUUAAAAUUCUAAAAAUAAGUUAAAAGAUAAGUCUUUUAGUUUUUAAAUUUUCGCUUGAUUUUUAAACCAUUGGUAAAAGAAAGGAAGAAGGAGUGUUGAUAGUUUUAAUUCUAAAAAGAUAAAAACGAAAAUCAAAAUGGAUACUAAAAGGACUUUUUAGGUUUGGAGUUUGGUUUUAAUUUAGUUUUUAAGUCUUUAAACAAUUUUGUUAUAUUUUAUAAAUGGUAUUAAAAUUGUAGCCAUACAAUGAGAGGUUUGAAGUAAGAGUUAGAGGUGUGGGUGUAUAUGUAUGAUAUCUAAGAACUAAGAAGAAAGAAAAGGGUGUGAUUGUGAGAGCAAGGGAAGUAGGGUAGUCCAUGAAACAGAGGAUAAUGGAAAAGAAAAAGGAGGCAAUUUCUGAGGUGUUAUCUGCCAUUUGAAGCUCAGUCCCCUUUUUCCCAAAGGGGACAAUUUGAUUGUACAAUUAUUGCUUUCUUCUCCUUCACCAUUUCUCCCACAUUUUCCUUCUCCACACUUUCUCAUUUCUUUCAAAAUUUAUUUUUAAUUUUCAUAUCCUUACACGAUUUCAAUCUUUUUCAAAACAUAGUUUUGAAACGAUUUUAAAGGGUGCUUUUGAUUCUUAAAAUUCAUGGAUCUAAUAGUACAAUUUAAUUUUAUAUUUACUAAAUUCUUUUGGGUUUAAAUUUUUAAUUUUUUUUUGAAUUUAUUAAAUAAAGUUGAAAAUGCAAAAACUUGUUUAAGACACACUCUCAAAAGCUUACUAAUCAAAUAGAUGUAACCAUCAAAGUUCAGUGAAAAAUCUAAUUAAAAUUGGUGGUUGACAAUGUGUAUCAAUUUGCAUUCGUCCCAUUUAAAAACAUUCUAACUAUGAUAUAUAAUAACUCAUUUAGAUGAGUGGUAUAGUGCUUUUGUAAUCAAGAUCAAAAAAGAGAAAUUUUCUAAUGUGAUUAAACCUCUUGUUUUUUCAAGGCCAUAGUGAAUUUUGUUCGAAUUUUGAAAUUUUACUCACCAUGAAGCAAUUUUAUAAAAUUGUCUUGAUUUCUUCUCGUUCAUGUGCGACCAACUUUAAGACUAUGCACCAACUCGGCAGUUGCACACGAGCAACUCCAAAUUGUAAAUAUUGAUCUAAAUAUCAAUAUUUGGAAUAUGAAAUUUUGGUAUAUUUGUAAUUGUUUUAAAGUAUUGCUACGUAGUAAUAUAAUUAAAAAUUAAAAUUGAGAAGCAAUCACGUGUUUACUUAGAGGGAGAGAGAGAGAGAAAAAGGCGAAACCAGAGGGUUUUAGGUUUCUUCUUCGCUCAUAGUAAUUGCCCAACGACUUCCAUUCAAUCCUUUUCCACACUCUAAACUUUCCAUCGCCAAACCUAAACAGAGAUUCCCAAUUUCGGAACUGAAAGAAAGAAGGGAUGUACCACGUUCUUCCACCGCAAGAACAGCAUUUCUCUUACAUUACGUACGAUGUCCAAAGACGCCAAUCAAGAUAAAGGCUGUGUCUCUUCGCUCUGUAAGAACGACGAUCUCUUUAAUUUCUUCCAUUCUUCCAUUUUUCUAAUUUUUCUAAUCGAUUUGAAUAAUUUUAUCAGUUUAUUCGCUGUGUGUUGCUGUUUUUGCUGAUUCGAAUUAAACUUGCGUGUGUUGCUUGAAGUGUGUUUGUUGUUGCUGCGAUUGAGUUAUAUAGUGUAUUCCAUCUUCGAUUCAAUAAUCAUCUAAAUUUCUAUCUUUCGGUGUUUUGUUAGAAAAUUUAUAUAAAAAAAAAAGAGAAAGAGGAGAAUUAGGCUUUGGAGAGAUAUUGGAUGUAAUUUGUUCUGAGUUCUUGUUUUUUUUUCUUCUUCAAUUUCUUUGAUUUAAUAAAAAAGAGUCUGGGUUGUAUAUUUGUAUUCUUACCAUGUUCCAAUUUAUUUUUCAAAUUAGAGAUAAGAACAAGGUAUUUAGCAACAUUUAAAAAGAAGUUAUUAAUAUAGAAAAGUUUACCGAUAUCUCUCCAAAAAAAUUUGUAUAGAAGACACUAUACGCUAUAUAAUAAACACACUUCAACAGAUAUCUGAAUGCUUUCGAGUAACAGUCACUAUAUUUAUAGUAUUUGUAGCAAUAAAUUUUCACAUUAUAUUUUGUAAUAUAAAUGUAAAUUUUAAAAUUACAUAAAAAACUUUUUCAUGAAAUAUUGGUGAGAGAAUGGAAAUUUAGAUAUCAACUUUGUUGCAUUAUUUUCUACAGAAGUUGAACUCUUAAGAUGAUGGUAAAGUUUAGUUAAAAUAAAAUAUUAUUUAAUGUAUAUUGUAAUAUGACAAUUAAAAAUUAAUAUUAAAAUAUAAAAAUCAAUAAUGUGAGGGAGUCAGUAUUCGACCCCUUAUUAAAUCCACCUUUGCCGACACUUAUAGACCACAAUGACCAAUAUUUACGAGAUGGUCUAGGUCUAGGUCUAAUUAAUCUAUCACUAACAAACGUUUAUAUAUGCAAUUUUUAAAUAAUAUUACUAUACGUGCUAAUACUAUCCCAAAUCUUUGUUAUUAAAUUGUUAUUAUAACAUUUUUUUUUGGAUUUGAUGUGUUAGAUUUUUAUUCAAUUUAUUAUUAUUAUUAUUAUAUCUCUUUUAAAACGUCGGGAAACAUCUUUAGAAAAAAGCACAAGUUGGAAAACAUCGAUCAAUUUAUACUUAUAAACUUUAAAAGUUCUAUCACUCUUGCGAGUAUAUUAUUUUAGACCAUUUACUACAUUUUAUUUAAAAUAACUAUGAUAAACUUAAAAGUUUAUUAGUUAAACUUUAAAGUCUCCUAAAUCAAUCAAUUUAGACUUUUAGGUAUAUUUAUUCUUGUCUACUCUCGUAAUUGAUUCAAAAUUUAAUGGAUAAAAGAUUUAUAUUGACAAUGAAAAUAAGUAGUUUUUAAGUUAUAAUGGAUAAAAGAUUUAUAUUGAUAAUGAAAAUAAGUAGUUUUUAAGUUAUAGCUUCUUCUUCUUUUUUACAUUUUUUAUCAUCUAAAUAUAUAUGUUGGUGAGAGUCUAUCAACUUAUCAAUGUUUAUCCAUGAUAAAAAUUGAUACGAGUAUAUUCUAUCAACAUCGAUGUCUAUUAGUGAUAAAGGCUUAUUGUUUAUAUGUAUGUAACACCCUAAAUGUAGGGGAAGAUAUGAAUGAACUGAUAUCACAUUUAAUUAAAAGAGAUCCUGAGAAUUUAAUUAAAAGAGAUCCUGAGAACAUGAGAGUAAAGUUAAGAAAGACUUAAAAUAGUUCAAAGUUACUACAUAUUUUAACAAAGUGCACUUUCUUUUUUAAUAGCUCGAUCAUAUAAACUUUGUUGGACCUGAGCAUUACAAUUGAUCACUACUUUUUUUACCAUUUAUAUGAAUAGUUUGACAUUUUUUCUAUACGUGAAAAUUAAUCUCUUUUAAUUUGUAAUAUACAUUGCACCUUGUUUUUAUUUUACACUUUAACUAUUUAUUUGCAACUUUGACUGCACCCUUUUUGUUUAAGAAAACAUUAAAGAAAAUAGGUUUUAUGAAUGUGUUUAAUUUUUUGAAUUACUCAAUCUAUAUAUUUAACAGAAGUAACCAUUUAUGUAAUUUAAAAUUUAUCACAAAUUUAAUUUAAUUCCUCGAAUCUUCAAAUUCAAUUGGUGUUUUGUAUUAUUUUGAUCGAUUAACUUUCAAUAUUUGUUGAGAAUUGUCCUACAUUAAUAAUACUCAAUUUAUUGGCAUGUCUAAGCUCGAGAGAAAUCAAGAGGUGUGACAUGGAAAAAUGUACUACAAAAGGGAAAACUUAAAGUUUUCAUCCCUAGUUGGUAAUAAUAGCACCAAUAAGAAAAUAUAUUUGAAAUGUACUCAGUUUCAUUCUCGCAUCAUAAACUACCAUGACAUUCGUCAAAGUUACACCUAAUCACAAUCAAUUGUAAGAGGAAGGAUAUUCUUAAUUAGCCUCGUUUAUUUAAUGACCUUCCAGAAGAACAAAAAAAGCAAGUAAAUCCUAAUAAAUGAGAACUCUAACCUUACUUUUGUGUGCUUAGUUGAACUAACUACACUCUAAAUACCGAUUUAGACAUUAAAUUUACCUGACAAGAAUCUUUCACACGUGUUGAAUGAAAUAGCAAAAUCGAAUUAGAAGAAGUGAGCUGGCCAAAGGUUAAACCCACGAAGACGUCAUCGUGACAACGUGUGCAUGAAAAUCCACACACCAACCAUAUCUAUUUUUUUAAGCUACCUGAAUACACAUCUAAUUCAACUACUACUAUAUAAAGUUCUUUCAACCAAUUUUUGGUGCUAAAUAAAGAAGAUGUAGAUAUUAUGAACAAACUUAUAGGUAGCCAAAUGCUUUUUAAUGAAGGUAGCUGAAAAGCAUUAACAGAAUAUAUAUGACUAUGAGACAUUUCAAUUUUUGGUAGAUAUAUAUUUCCCAAUUACAUAAUUCAAAGUGGCAAACUUUUGUCAAACUUUAGGUUAAAAUUGCAAUUAAAAAUGAGUAAUUAAUUUUGGGCAGGUCAAUUAUAACCUAACCAAUUAUAGAUAGAUUGUGUCCUUUUUCAAUAUAUGGAGAUUGUUAAAGUGUGUUUCCUUCAAACACAAACCUCUUUUUUAUUAUAUUUGACAAUUCACGAUUCACAUUUCGACUAAUUUCACGAGAUGACUUAUCUGAUCUUACAACAUAAUAUUUGGGUGUAAAGAAAAUUUGUAGAAAUUAAUUGUUAGAUUGAUGACCACCGUUGAUUGAACUUGUGACUUCUCAGUUAUUUUUUAUGGUCAAUAUAAGGAUUCACGUUUAAAUUUUGAUGUGUUUGAGAUUGAUUUUGUAGAUAUCAUCGUUACUACAAAUUUGGCUUAUAGUUAAAAUUAAUCAUUUGUAUUCCAAAAUUUUGAAUUCUAUCAACGAUAGUCAGGAUAAAAUUUGUUAUAAGUGGUAAAUAUUCUUUAAAAUUUAUUAUUUUUAAAAAUUUAUCUAAAUUAAUUAACUUAAUAUUUAAUUUUAAAAUGUAAUUUUCAUAUAAUCAAAUCCAACCCUUAAUAAUUAAAAUAAUUUUAAAAUUUGACCAAAGUGACUUAACAAGUCAAAAAUCACUUCCAAGUUUACAAAAUAAUCUAAAGUUUUUUUUCUAAAGUAUAUGACUAAAUUUUGCAAAUUUGAAAAUGAAAAUGAGAAAAACUAAAUAUUGGGUAUAUUUUAUUUAACCCAAAAAUCAAAUGUAUGGUUUCUAUUUUUUUUUUUUGAAAAAGGAGAAUUAAAAUUAAAAAUUGAAGAGAUCUCAACCAACCCUUUUAAGUCAAAGGUCAUCAUAAUGAAGUGCCCAAAAAUUAGAUGGGUGCCAACAUUUUUGGACCUUUUUGUUCUUCUUUAUAAAAAAUAUUGAUAAGUUUUGGAAGCACUUUUCAGAGAGCCAUUCAAUUUUGGGCAUAAAAGUCCUUUUCCUCACGUAUAUUUCGAAAUUUGUUCAAUUUUAGUUUUGUACGACCAUUUUUAAAUUUAACCCAUAUUGUUUGUCUAUUGUUGACUUUUUAAAAAACUCAUGGGUUACUUAUUAUCAUUUUCACUCUAAAUAUUAAAAAGAUAUAUUCAUAUAUUUUUUAUUUUUAUUAAAAUUAAAAAAAAUUAUUUUAAACAACAAAACUAUUGAAAAUAUUUACAAAUAUACUACACUAUCACCGUUGAUUGUAAUAACUACUGUAUGUGUUUAUAUGUGUCAUGAUAGCUAUUAAACAUAAUAUUUUAAUGUAUUUGAAAACAAAUCAUCAAAGUAAUACAAUAAUUAUAAUUAUCUUAGAAUGAGCUAAAAUAGUAUUCCAAUGCAUUUUCAAAUAUAGUAAAAUUUUAAAUUCUAUCGAUAAUAGACAUUAAUAAAAGUCCAUCAAUAUGAAAUAUAUAUUUUAGGAAUAGUUUGGAUGUUAGAUUUUGUUAAAUUUUGUUUAAAGUCGUACCAUAUUUAUUGUGGCACUAAUAUUCUCACCUACAAACCAAACAUGGUUUGGAAAGAAAUAAUACUCCAAAAGAGAGAAAUGGUAGAGAUUUUGUGCAUAUAAAAUACAAACAAACACAUCCCCAUCUCUCAAACCCUCUAACCACUAAAUAUAAAUUAUAAACUUCCUCCUCACCCACUUUUCCUUUUCUUUUUCCCUCACAAACCUUCCAACAUAUUAAUUAUAUUGAUAGCCACCACUUUUUCUUUCUUUCUUUCAUUAUUCAAUAUAUUAUUAUUAUUAUCAUAAUCUCACUUCAUAUACUUCGAACAUUCAAUAUUAGUAUCUUUUUUAAUAAUCAAAUUUAGAUUAAUACUUUCAUGUCCCUUUCUUUUAUAUAUGGAAUUAAUGCACUUUUUGUUCUUAUGAACAUAGUCAAAUAUUUAAUCAUCACAUUGCAUUGAGUUUUUUUUCCCAUAAAAUUGCUCUAGUGGGCAUGAUUAGGAGACUAUAUAAUAUUUUUUUCUUCUAAACUUUAGAUAUGGUUACGAAGACCUAAUAAAUAAAUUAAAGAAAAAAUGUUUAAAGCGUGAAAUCAUUUAAAAUAUUUAUAAAUAUAUAGUAGAAUUAUGUUAUAUUUGUAACUAGUUUUUCUUUUAACUGUAUAAUAUUUAUAUCUAUAAAUGAUAUGAUUUCAAACGAUGUUUAGAAUUUGACAAUAUAUAAGACUUUGAAAUACUUAAAUAAUUCAACUCUACUAAUUUCAAUAAUUUUAUUAUUCAAAUUUGCAUAUGUAUUAAACACUUUCACAACAUGCACUCUAAAUACGAAUUUUCUAACUUCAAUCUAAUAAAUUCAGAUUGCAUAAUUCUAACUCAUCGCUCGAAAAACUUCCUUAGGAUAAAAUAAAAUUCGAAUGACGAAACAUAGUCAAAUUUUGUAUUUUUUUUUAAUCUUUUCUUAAUUUGAUGAUUAAAACAAAAUAACCAAAAGGAAAAAAAAAGAAAAGAAAAGAAAGAAAUAAUUAGAUGUACCAAAAGGGAGUGAAGGCCAUGUGGGUUUGAUCCUACACAUUAAAUGAUGGGCAUGAAUUAUGUUCCCUACUCAAUUUUACCUCUUAUUCACUAUUAGCUGUAUGUUGACUCUCAUUAUAUACAUUUAUACUUUAUAAAGAUUUCUUUUUUGUCACACUAUAUUUCAUUAGAACUAUACUAUAUAUCAUUUAUUAUGCCAACCAUUAUUCUAAUUUAACGACCAUUUAUUGUUAUUAUUAUUACUAAUCUCAACUAACUCAACAAAUUAACACCAUUCUUAUUCAUUUUCUUAUAAUAGAAGCUCAAAUCUUAUCUUUCAAUCUAUGUUGUAUGUUUAAGAAAAGAUAAAUAGUUAAAAAUAGAACAAAAAAAAAAAAAAAACGAUUUAAAUGAGUUAUGGAGAGCUGGAUGCAUUUUAUGUAUUUAAGAAUGAAUUUACUGUGUUUCUUCUUAGGGUAUGUAAAUCUAUAAAAAAAAAAAAUGGAAGAAUUACAAAGUUAGUGGAUACUAAAUUAAUUACGAUGUUAAAUCAAUGAUUCCUUUGACUAUAUUUUUUUCUUUGAGUAAGAUAAAGGAUCGAGUAUAUUGUAUAUCAAUGGAGCGCGCGAUGGUCGAUUUUUUACAAAUAUUAGGUUAAUGUGUGGUUAAAAAAUUAAUUUUUAUCGAUGUUGCAGUGAAGAUUGCUAUAAAGUCAUAUUAUUGAAUACGCUAUAACAAAUGAGUGCAUGUCAAUUAUCGUUGAGUGGAUUUAUUGACGUUGUUUGUGUUUGAUAGUAUUAAUUUUUUUUCGUUUAUUUGUUUUCUAAAAAAUCUUGUAGUUGAGUAAAACUUCUUUUUCGGAAGGUAUUUGUAUAUGUAUUAUCCAAUCUUUCCUCUUAAGUUUUAUCUCUUAGAGACGUGAAAAAAGUGAGUAAUGUAUAUCUUUCAAAGAAUAAGAAUUAAAGAGCAAAAAUAAUCAACAUAUACUUAUAGCUUUAGAAAAAUAAAAGAAUAUUAAUACGAUCUUAAAUACGUAUUAAUUUUCUCGUGAGAAGUUUAGAAACAAAAAUUAAGAUACAUCGAAAAAAACACUUCAAGUUUCUCAUAAGUUCCUUAACAUAAGAAAAUCACACAUUUCAUUUUUUUUUUCUUUAAUACAAUAACUAUGAUGUAUGAGAAUUUAAAGUAUUGACCUUAAGGAGAAAACGUACGAUCGAUCUUAAUCUCAAAAUGAAGACCGACCUAGUUUCAUACUUACAGAACCUUAGGCAAAGUAGAAAGAAUAUAUAAAAUUAAAAAGAAAUCUUACAUUUUCAUUUCUUGAACACUUAAUUUUCUCGACUAAAUCAUUUAUACGUUCUUAAAAGGAGACAACUACUUUCACGUUGUUGAUGUUUGUUAGAGAAAUUAUCAAACAAUCAUUGAGAGAUAUAUAAAUUCAAAAUGAUGAUUAAUUUAGGAGCUAAGCAACAACUACGAGAUUCAAUCAUUUUUUUCUUUCAUAGAGCACAAACACUUAGUCUAUCUAAAAUUCAACAACAUAUUUGUGGCGAUAAAAGAUUGAAUCUUCCACCUUUAGAAUGAAAUAUCAUACCAAAGACGAAAACAUAAUUCAUCAAUCAAUAUUCGAUAUAAAAUAUUAUUUAAUGAAAUUUAAAACAAAACCAUACAAAUGCAAAAAACACAAAGAGACUAUAACAAUUGAUAUAACUUAAUUCCAAGAAUGACCAUGAUAGACCAAAAAACCGAGCCAACUGACCGAAUAAAAGUCGGCUGGUGUUGAUUUAGGAAAUGACAAUAAAAAAAUUCUAAAGAGUGAAACAAAUCGACCAAUCAAAAUUGACUUUUUACUCUCUAAUAAUCAAAGUCGAUCCGAACAUUAACUUUGAUGGACCAAUCAACGAGCAUCCCUAAUUAAUUAAACACUCUAACUUUAACAAGAAGAAAGCACCAAAAAAUAGAGUGGUUAGUUACUAUUACAAAGUAGAUUGUCAAAAAAUUGGGUCACCCUUUGCUUGGUUAAAAGCCAAACCCACUUUUUACUUUUCCAAAUUUCUACUUUUUCCAAAUUUUCACUAAGCAACAAAAAGUUAGACAUUUACCCGCCCUUUCUACCAGGGGGUAUAACGGUAACUUCACAGUUUCCCAACCGUUUUAAUCAAAAGAUUUGCCAAUUGCGCACCAUCAUUCAGUCCCACGCGCGCCCAUUCUAGUGUGCUUAAUAAGGUCCCUAACGUCAUUUCACUAUUUAAUGAACUUUGUCUCCAUAUGCCUUAGGUUUUGGGACAUUUUGAAAAAUAAUCCUCAAAUGCCUUUCAUUUUUCUUAACUAAUUCAAUCGUAUAGUUUUCACAUUCUUAUCUAUUUAGUCGAGAUUGAUCAUCGAGAGUUUAAUUAAAAAAUUAUCGUGUAUUAGAUUUUUUUUGAAGAAAUUUUGCGAAGAAUGUUGAGAUGUUACACAUUUUUUCUCUCUUAAUGAUCAUUAUACAAAAAUCUUACAUCUAUUCAAAUUUUCUCGAAGUUUUGUUAUGUUUAUUAGUACGUAAUCUUUCAAAUAUAAUGUCAAUCCAUGCUUCUACAAUUAUACAAAAUCCUGAAUGGAUUUAGAUUCUUUUCAAAUAGACGAUUGUAGGAUGAUUUUUAAGUUUUGAAAAUGUUUGAUUUCGAGAAAAGUUGAAUAGGAUUUGUGAAAAAUCUUCAUUAUGACUGGGAUUCUUCAAGAAAGUUGUCGAGAAUCAUUAGUUUGGAUUCUAUCACUGUCUAUCAAUAUUACACAUUUGAGUAUCUAUCCAUCAAAGUUAAAAUUCCAAUUUUGUUUACAAAGAAGUGGUCCCCAGUAGCGUUAAUACACCCACGGGAGCGAGUAGGAAUGCAUUUCAAUACGCGCGAGAGUGGGGUGGGGUUAUAUUGAUGUCUGUUCUCUUUUUUAUCCUUCCCGCGGCCAUUAAAUGAGCCUCCUCAUAACUCACUCACACUGCUCUCUUCCUCUCUGCUGCUUUGAGGUUAGAGAGAAAAGAGUUCAACAAACAACGACUUAAAGAAAGAGUAGAAGAAGAAGCCAUUAAUGCAGAGCUCAACUACCCAUUUCUAGGGCAAUAUUUUUCCUUCACUCGCAAACACACACACACACACACAGAUAAUAAACCAUUUCUUCCUAGAUUCACCAAUGCUUCUCUCAUUCUUUGCUUGAUUCAUUUCCAUUCUCUGUUUGGAGCUUUAUUAUAGAUCUUCCUCCACCAUGUGGAACACGGCGGAUAAUGUGUUUGUUCGAACCGCCUCGUUUAGAGAAGACGGAGAAGAUGAAGAGGCCUUACGUUGGGCAGCGCUUGAGAGGUUGCCUACGUAUUCGCGUGUUCGUAGAGGUAUUUUCAAGAAUAUUGUUGGAGAUACUAAGGAGAUUGAUGUUAGUGAACUUGAGGUUCAAGAACAAAAGCUUCUUAUUGAUCGAUUGGUCAGUUCGGUUGAUGAUGAUCCCGAGAUGUUUUUUCAACGAGUGCGACGCCGUUUUGAUGCGUAAUUCUUCUAAUUUUGUUUCAUUGCUUGUUUAUGAUUUUUUGAUGUGGUUUAUUUACUGCUCUUGUGUGUGUGUGUUCGGAGAAAACAAAAUGAAAGGAUAAUGGUGAGAUUCUUUUGGAUUAUUUCUCUGCUUUGCUUUUUAUUAUUAACUAAUAAGUCAAAUGUGCUGUGAUUAUUGCUUCAUAGAGCUGUUUGAAAUUUUUGAUCGUGUCAAUUUGAGAGACGUUUAUCUUACUGUCACUAAUAAUGCUAGCUAAUUCUUGUUCCUGCUCAAUUUUGUUUUGUCAUUGGCUUGUGAAUUUGUAAUUUUCAUUAUUAAGCUACUUUCUUCUUAUUAACUUAUGCGUGAAAUGUGCUGUGAUUAUUGGUUAGAAUGUCGUUUUGUUGCAUCAUGGAGCUGUUUUUCACUAAUUACUACCGUUUUGAAGUUUGUGAUCGUGUCAAUUUGAGAGCCGUUAAUCCUAUAGUUAUUCUUACUAAAAUGCUUGCUAAUUUCUUUUCCUGCUGAAUUUUGCUUUUUGAUUGGUUUGUGAAUUUGUAACUUUCAUGAUUAAGGUACUACUGCGAUCAUACAAUUGCUUUACGUUCUUUAAUUUUUUUUUUUUUGUCGCAGAGUUGAUUUAGAGUUCCCUAAGAUUGAGGUUAGGUUUCAACAGUUGACUGUAGAAUCGUUUGUUCACAUUGGAACCAGAGCUCUGCCGACUAUUCCCAACUUCAUGUGCAAUAUGAUGGAGGUAGCGUAGUAUUUACUCUGUAUCUAUAAAAUGAUUAGUACGAAUUUUUUUUUUUUUUUUGUUAAUCAACUAUGGAAAAGUGUUUUCUUCAUUUGUUCUUCUUAUGGUUACUAGAUGUUUGUAUACAUUGUGCCAGGCACUUCUUAGGAAACUAAAAAUAUACAGCAGUCAGAGAAGCAAGUUGACAAUUUUAGACAAUGUCAAUGGAAUUAUAAGACCUUCCAGGUAAACUUUCUAGUUCUAACAAAAGUAGAAGUUGAAUCUUUGAUUAUGUUCCGAAUUUCGAAUUUUACACUAUCCUGAGCUCUUUUGUAGAUUAACUUUGUUAUUGGGUCCCCCGAGCUCUGGAAAGACAACUCUUCUUCUAGCCCUUGCUGGUCGCCUUGGAAGUGAUUUGCAGGUACUGAACAAUUGAAACUUUGCCCUUCACUGCAGAAACGUUGUUGAUAUUAACUAUCUGUUUUUAAUUCUUUGGUCAGCAAUCGGGGAGAAUAACAUAUAAUGGGCAUGGGUUCAAUGAGUUUGUUCCGCAGAGGACAGCAGCUUAUGUUAGUCAACAGGACCGACAUAUUGCAGAAAUAACUGUCAGAGAAACUCUCGAUUUUGCAGGCCGCUGUCAAGGCGUGGGGUUCAAAUAUGGUAAGCUAUGAAAAAUCUUGCAGUUUGACAGCUAAUACUUCUCUUAAUACUUAUUUGAAUGGUGAAGAUAUGCUCAUGGAACUAGCAAGAAGGGAAAAGAUUGCAGGGAUAAAACCUGAUGAAGAUCUCGAUAUAUUUAUGAAGGUAUGUGAUACUUCAUGUAUAAUUUUUCUUUAAUGUUCUUUUGUUACCAUCUGUUUUAUUGAAUUGAUAUGAAUUUGAUUGGUUGUAAUUGCUGCAAUUUUCUCUUUAGUCAUUGGCUCUAGGGGGUCAAGAGACAAGUCUUGUGGUGGAGUACAUCAUGAAGGUACAUUCAAUUUACUUUUCCCCCCUUGAUAUUUAUUGAACUGCUAAUAGAAGUUGCAACCUUGGUCCUUUUAGAUUUCACGUAUAUUUAUGGAUUAUUUGGCAACAUGUAAGAUAUGAUUAUUGAACUUCCAUUAUCCUCAAUCUCAACAAGUUGCUUUACUCUCCAUAAUCUUUAGCUUGGCGUAGAAGAUGCAAUCAACAUUUUGGUCGGUCUCACUCUCCAUAAUUUUUGGUUAUGAAGUUUUAUUUCUGGAAAAGCUGGUAACUCUGUUUAGUGUUUGACAGGAGAUUUUCAUUAAUUAGUUAUAUUAUAGAACCUUAAUAAUUCAACGUAAAAUUUUGAAAAGCGUACAGGUUUUUUAAGAAUUAUAUCAUUGUGCGUUCUUUCUAUGCAAUAUUUUGACGUCAUCCACACCUGAAGUAUUGAUAUCUGCGAAGAUUUUAGGGUUGGACGUGUGUGCUGACACAUUGGUAGGAGAUGAAAUGCUCAAAGGGAUUUCUGGAGGACAAAAAAAGCGUCUUACGACCGGUUUGUUACCAUCCAUCUCUUCUACACUAAUGGAUAUAAUAAUGAGUUUUGAUGAUUACAACUCAUUACUUCAGGCGAAUUGCUAAUUGGCUCUGCAAGAGUUCUAUUCAUGGACGAGAUAUCAACGGGGCUUGAUAGUUCAACUACCUAUCAAAUUAUCAAGUAUCUUAGGCAUUCUACCUGUGCACUUGACUCCACCACUGUAGUUUCUCUCCUGCAGCCUGCUCCUGAGACCUAUGAGUUAUUUGAUGAUGUUAUACUUCUCUGUGAAGGCCAAAUUAUAUAUCAGGGACCGAGAGACUCUGUUCUUAAUUUCUUCACAGCUAUGGGAUUUACCUGUCCCGAGAGAAAGAAUGUUGCAGACUUCUUGCAAGAAGUAAGCAAAGAGUGUAAAGAUUGAACUGAAAAUUCCCACUACUUUUUUGCUAAUGCGUUUGCUUACCAAAUAAUGGCUAUAGGUUAUAUCAAAGAAGGAUCAGGAGCAGUAUUGGUCAGUUCCUGAUCGUCCCUACCAAUUUAUCCCUGCAGCAAAGUUUGCCAAAGCUUUUCGUUUGUAUCAUGUUGGAAAGAACUUGACUGAAGAAUUGGAAGUUCCUUUUGACAGACGUUAUAACCAUCCAGCUUCCUUGUCAUCUUCUCAAUAUGGAGUAAAGAGGCUUGAACUUCUUAAGACCAGCUUUUCAUUGCUAAGGCUGUUAAUGAAACGAAACUCAUUUAUCUACGUUUUUAAGUUUAUUCAGGUAAAUAAAGCAGUUGUUCUUUAUCAAUUUUUGGUUUGAUUUUAAUGUUUUAGGUCUUCUUAGUAGACUGAAAUAAAUCCACUUGUUAAUGUUGUGUCCGUGAUAGAAACAACUUAUGCAGCCAUUAUAAAAACCAACAAUUGAAGGAUGACAUAUUUUUUCUGUAAUGUUCUCCUCAUUGUUUCUAUUAUGCAGUUACUACUGGUUGCAAUGAUUACAAUGAGUGUCUUUUUCCGGACAACAAUGAAGCAUGACACAAUUGAUGACGGAGGACUUUACCUUGGGGCACUCUAUUUUUCUACUGUUAUCAUCCUUUUUAAUGGAUUUACAGAGGUGUCCAUGCUGGUGGCCAAACUUCCUGUAAUUUACAAGCACAGGGAUUUGCACUUUUAUCCAAGCUGGAUUUAUACUCUUCCUUCUUGGAUCUUAAGUAUUCCAAUUUCACUUUUGGAAUCUGGUAUCUGGGUUGUAGUCACGUAUUAUGUGAUUGGAUAUGAUCCUGCUAUCACUAGGUAAGUGGUAAAGGUUGUGUAUUCCUUUUGAAUGUGGUGAGAUAAGGAUAAUUAUGUUGACAUGGAUGGACUUGAUUAUGGUUUCUAAAUAUGCAGAUUCUUGCGGCAACUUUUGUUAUUCUUUUCUCUGCAUCAGAUGUCUAUAGCACUCUUUCGCCUCAUGGGAUCAUUGGGACGUAACAUGAUUGUUGCCAAUACCUUUGGAUCCUUUACGAUGUUGGUUGUUAUGGCUCUUGGAGGAUAUAUCAUUUCAAGAGGUUGAUAUUGCAUGUUUUCUAUGCAACGUAUUAACAAACAUGAACUGUGCAAGUCUCACAUCUUUUCCUUCAUUGUAACAGAUCGUAUACCAAAAUGGUGGAUAUGGGGUUUUUGGUGGUCCCCAUUGAUGUACGCUCAAAAUGCUGCGUCUGUUAAUGAGUUUCUUGGGCAUUCUUGGGACAAGGUAAUAUUCUUGCUUCUACGACUAUUAAAUAAUCCAGGUGCAUCUGAUUUUAACGAUGUUGUGAACUAUUUUCUCUCUUUCUUCACUGUAUAGAGCGUUGGGAAGAAUACAAGCAUGUCACUAGGAGAAUCUUUACUGAAAGCACGCAGCCUUUUUUCAGAAAGCUAUUGGUAUUGGAUUGGUGUUGGUGCGUUGCUUGGAUAUACAGUGAUUUUCAAUUCGCUAUUCACAUUCUUCCUGGCAUACCUUAAACGUAAGCAAUCUGCUAUAAAUUGAUUAUAUUAUUUUACUUCUGCUUAUAUUUUAGCAUCGGAAGACUCUGCAAGAUGAUUUUUGAAAAAUGUAAAUUGGUUUUAAAAUUAUUUUUUCACUGAUUUGUUGCUUUCCCUUUUCUUCACAGCUUUGGGCAAAAGCCAAGCUGUAGUCUCCAAGGAAGAACUGCAAGAGAGAGAGAAAAGAAGGAAAGGAGAAACUACUGUAAUUGAGUUGAGACACUAUUUGCAGUAUUCUGGGUCAUUGAAUGGUAAGAAUCUGAUUAAGCUGUUUGAAAAACUUAGUAUAGUUUUUCUUAGCCAUUCGUCAAGUGCUGCCCUUGUCAAACUAAUUUUAUAAUUUCACCAUCUCAACUAUUUGGCAGGAAAGUACUUUAAACAGAGAGGAAUGGUACUUCCCUUCCAACAACUUUCUAUGUCUUUCAGCAAUAUUAAUUACUACGUUGACGUUCCCAUGGUGAGCUUCAAAUCCAGUUCUUUACUCAUUAUUUCGGGAACUUCUUGGUUGUAUAUCAUCUGACUUAAAAUAUUACUUCAGGAGCUAAAGCAACAAGGGGUAACAGAAGAAAGAUUACAAUUGUUGGUUAAUGUCAGUGGAUCAUUCAGACCAGGUGUGCUUACAGCUCUACUAGGAGUCAGUGGAGCUGGAAAAACCACACUCAUGGAUGUAUUGGCCGGUAGAAAAACUGGUGGGGUCAUUGAAGGAAGUAUACAUAUAUCCGGCUAUCCCAAAAGGCAGGAUACAUUUGCUAGAGUUUCUGGUUACUGUGAACAGACAGAUAUUCACUCCCCAUGUUUAACUAUUAUGGAAUCACUUCUCUUCUC
rnacentral:lncRNA from 1 species